rnacentral:lncRNA from 1 species
CAGCCCAAAGAGGCCCUUCUCCCAACGGUCCGCCCAAGCCAAAACCGGGCUGACCCACCAAAUGACCCACCUGUUUCUUUCGUAAUAUAAAAACCUUCUUAUAAUUCUCCCCCAAAUUCCCUAAACCUAAUGCAUCAGAGAAUGCAGCGCCCCUUUACAUUGUUCAUCUUCUUCUUCAACCGAUUGCCUCAACUCGCCUUCAACUCACCCAAGUUUGCUCAAAUUAGUCCCCCCUCCACGUCAUUUGAUUCCUAACGGGUUUUGUCAGAAGGAAUUCAAAUAUUCUCUUCUAAAUUGUGGAUUUCUGUACAAAAAAAGCACAAUUGCUGGACGGAUGGGAGCCGUAGAUAGAUGUAUAUCAAUCAACGCCCUCCAUUUGUCCCAAAAUUAUUCAAAAGGACAGAAAUAUCUUCAGAAUGUUAGAGUAAAGUUUCUAGGGUUUUUUGAGACUUUUACUCCUUAAUCUAGAUUAUGCUUUCUUGAGAAAACGAAAAAGUAUAUAUGUAAAAUUGUCUGAGUUUUGUGUUCUUCAUUCGAGCUUCAUUUUCAAAAGAAAUUGGAGAAAGCACAAAAACAUUUUCAGCAUUUUUUUUGUUGAUUAUGGGAUCUCAAUAAUGAGUUUGGAUUAAGUUGAUUUCUGGUUUUCAAAGCCGUGGAUUUGCCGUUGAUUUCUGUUGACUUUUACUGUUGAUUUUGCAUUGGCUGAGCUCGAUUCAUAUUUCUCUGCCUUUAUUUGGUUGCUGCAAUUUCCUUUCAAGCAUUAGGGAUCUAUUUCUCUUCUGUGCGUUUAGCUAUAACCAGGUAUUGCGUUUGGCCUGGAAAAUGUGAAUACUAUAUUUGUUUAUUCUUGCUUUUCGUGAAAGGAAAUAAAUUUUCUGUUUGUGACAUAUACGUUUAAAAUCUCUUGCGUCACCUGUCAUUAGUCAAAAUUUGAUGAAGCUUGAUUCUAGUAUGGGAAAAUUUAAGCAUUUCUUUGGUAAAGAUUUUUUUUUGUGGAGAAAAUAAGACAUCUUUAUUUUAAGUGUUACUGUGGCUUCAUCUUUAUUUCUUUGGUAUAAUAUGUAAAAAUAUUAAACUAGGCUAAAUAAAAAAAAUCAAGUGAAGAAUCCGUUUUUUGCACAGUUCUGGAAAAGAACUAAAACAUCGUCAAGUUGUUGAGCAACGUCUUUCUUCUUCAUCUUAUUUGUGGUGUUGUUUGGAUUUUCACCAUAUGUAAUAAUGGCCUCACUAAUGGUUUCUCCGGCUUUAGCCACUGGAUCCUUUGCUACGAAUUGUUCUUUUUUUGUAAUGAUAACUAGGCGUAUAGGUUUUAAAUUUUUCUUUUUCUUUUUUUAAAAUACUUGGUUCUUAUGCCCGGAUGAGUGAAUCAUGUAAAGGAAAAGCGAAUUUGUUGUGUUUGGGUUAGAAUCUAUACUCUAGUACUGAAAAUUGGAUUGUAAUCACUAUAGAGAUAUCCAUGUAUUAAAUUCUAGAUUCAGAAUAGAAUACUCUUGUUUUCUUUCUUAAUUGAUUGUCUGUUGUCAUUUUCUCGGUAAUUGUUGCAGAAUAUCAUAUUAGACUUCGUUUGUGCUUUCAACAUAUCUUUGGGAUAAGCAAAUGUUGGAAUUAUAAUUCAUUUUGAUAUUGGUCUAUAUUUUUGUAUGCCAUCUCAUAUACGUUCGUGUUUCAUACAUGAGUUUGUAGAGGAAGAGUUGAACCGAUGCUAUUUCUUGCACAAAAUAAGUCCAUAAUUGAUUACCUUCACAUCCAUCCCAAACUUAAAAAAAAAUUAAAUAAUGAUAUUACUCGUAUUUUUACAUUAGACGGGAUUUAGAUUAAUAUUAUAACUAUGUAUAUGUUUGCAUAACAUAAUUGCAAUUUAACUCUAAAAUGACUCGAGGGAUGUGUUCGCGCAACUUCAACUAAACUUUCUUAAUAAGUCAACAAAAGCAUUAUCAAUUGUGGACACGUUUACGUGACAUGAUUUUGACGCGUCAAAAGUAACGAGUAAACGUACGCGUAACUCAAUUCUUUAAUUGCAAAUGAUUCAAGUAAUUAAAAUCGGUAAAAGAUAAUUGCACAUAGGUCCUAAAAAUUAGUAGUUGAACAAUUAAGUCUAGUGACAAUCACUAAGCGACCAUGCUAGAACCACAGAACCAGAGUUCGAGCAGUAGAACCAACGGUAGAGCCUCAGGUAGAGUUUGAUAAAGAGGCUCCAGCCCAGACUGUUUUAGCAGGGCCAACUCAGGUUACAGAGGGGUUCAUCGCUACCCUGGUGCUUUAGGAUGCUUUGGUCCAUCUAGUGGGCCUUAUGGAGAGUGUUUCUCGCGCCAGCACAUUUCCUGUAGCACCAGCCGUCUCUCAGGUUGGGGGAGGAGCCCAAACUUCUGCUACCCACACUCCGGAGCAGAUGGCUCCUCAGUUUCAAACUCCAGCAGCUCAGUCCAUUGGGGUAGUUCCUCCGGGUGUUGCAGCAUAAACAGGGGAUGAAUCAGCUAUGUCUUCUCAAGCUUUAUGGAGAUUGGAUAGGUUUACCAAACUUUUCACCACUACCUAUGGCGGUAUAUCUUCAGAGAAUACCCAGGACUAUCUAGAAAGUUGUCAUGAGGUAUUACAAAACAUAGGGAUAAUGGAGACCAAUGACGUCGACAUUGCUACUUUUCGUCAAUCAGAUUUUGCCAAGAAAUGCCGGAGGGAUUUUUUUCAUGCCAAACCAGUUGGGUAGCCGACUCUCACUUGGGGCCAGUUCUCUCAGCUAUUUCUAGAUAAGUAUCUUUCUAUCACUCAGAGAGAGGACUAUCAGAGGUAGUUCGAGUUUCUAUGACUGUCACUCAGUACGAGGCUAGAUUUGUUUAUUUGGCCCAUCAUGCUCUUCUUAUACUUCCUAGAGAGAGAGAGAGAGAGGGAAAGAGAGAGGGGGGGGGGGGGGGGGGGUUUUUUUGGGGGUUUUUNNNNNNNNNNNNNNNNNNNNNNNNNNNNNNNNNNNNNNNNNNNNNNNNNNNNNNNNNNNNNNNNNNNNNNNNNNNNNNNNNNNNNNNNNNNNNNNNNNNNNNNNNNNNNNNNNNNNNNNNNNNNNNNNNNNNNNNNNNNNNNNNNNNNNNNNNNNNNNNNNNNNNNNNNNNNNNNNNNNNNNNNNNNNNNNNNNNNNNNNNNNNNNNNNNNNNNNNNNNNNNNNNNNNNNNNNNNNNNNNNNNNNNNNNNNNNNNNNNNNNNNNNNNNNNNNNNNNNNNNNNNNNNNNNNNNNNNNNNNNNNNNNNNNNNNNNNNNNNNNNNNNNNNNNNNNNNNNNNNNNNNNNNNNNNNNNNNNNNNNNNNNNNNNNNNNNNNNNNNNNNNNNNNNNNNNNNNNNNNNNNNNNNNNNNNNNNNNNNNNNNNNNNNNNNNNNNNNAGAGAGAGAGAGGGAAAGAGAGAGGGGGGGGGGUAAGGGGGUUUAUUGAGGGAUUUUCUCUGCCUAUCCGAUUGCAGAUGGCUAAAGAGACAUGGAGUGAGAUUUAUUUCCACGAUGCAGCUAAUGUGGCCAGACGAGUUGAAACAGUUUUAGCUCAGGGAGUAGUCGGGAGUCUAACAAGAGGCCUUGUCACUCCGGUAGAUCAGUGGUACCUCACUAGGAGGCCACGGUACUUUUGGUAGGGACCAUCCUCCCAGGCCAUUUCAAUCAGCACUUCAGACAUUUUGUGGAGCUUUAGGGAGUCAUGCUCCUUAUAUACCUCCUUUAGGGUAGCCAGCUUAUAGUGCAUCACCAGCUCCUAUAAGAGUACCUCCUCUUUAGAGUUAUUAUCGCGGUCAGUCGGUCCGUUAGGGUCAGUGUCAGUUUACAUAGUCGUAGUUUCAGGAUGUAUAUUUCGAGUGUUGUGAGUAUGUGCAUAUCUGGAGGACCAGUCUGUGAUUAGUUGGUGUUCAGUUGCAGCAGCAGGGUUCUCGUACCAUGAUUCUCGCACCGCCCACUCAUCCAGCUAGAGGUAGAGGUCAGCCCACUAGAGGUAAAGGUCAUGCCUCUAGAGAUGGAGGCUAGCCAGUAGGAGGCCUUCCCAGGGAUAUGGUUCAAAGCGGUGUGGCCCAACCCCGAUGUUAUGCUUUUCCAGCCAGGCCUAAAGCUGAGUCAUCCGAUAGUUUUAUCACUAGUAGUAGUACUAUUUUUGUUUGUAGUAGAGAUGCUUCAGUUCUAUUUGAUCCAUGGUCUACAUACUUCUAUGUGUCAUCUUAUUUUGCUUCAUAUUUGGUUGUGCCUUGUGAUUCUUUGACUGCUCUCAUGUAUGUGUUCACAUUGGUGGGGCAUUCUAUUGUUAUAGAUCAUGCCUAUCCUUCAUGUGUGGUUAUUAUUGGGGGUCUUGAGACUAGUUUAGACCUUAUACUUUUCAACAUGGUUGAUUUUGAUGUUAUUUUGAGGAUGGAUUUACUGUCACCUUAUCAUGCUAUAUUGGACUGUCGAGUCAAGUUUGUGACCUUAGUGUUGUCGAGGUUGCCUAGACUAGAGUGGAGAGGGACUCUUGAUCAUUCUACCAGCAGGGUUAUCUCUUAUAUGAAGGCUCACCAUAUUGUCGAGAAGUGGUGUUUGGCUUAUUUGGCUUAUGUUCGUGAUUCUAUUGCAGAGGUCCCUUAGAUGAAUUCUGUACCAAGUGUUUGGGAGUUCCGGAGGUACUCCUAUAGACCCACCGAAGAUGCUUCCUGACAUGGAUAUUGACUUUAGCAUUGAUUUGGCUCCGCACACUCAACCCCUUUCUAUUCCGCUAUACUGCAUGGCAUUGCGAUAGUAUAAAGAAUUGAAGGAGAAGUUGCGAGAUUUGCUUUAUAAGGGAUUUAUAUACCUAGUGUUUCACCUUUGGAUGCACCAGUGUUGUUUGUAAGCAAGAAGGAUGGUUCGAUAAGGAUAUGCAUAGACUAUCGGCAGUUUCAGAAAAUCACCAUAAAAAACAAAUAUCCAUUGCCCAGGAUUAAUGACUUAGUUGAUCAGUUUCAGGGUGCUAAGGCGUUCUCAAGGAUCGAUUUGAGGUCUAACUGCCAUCUGUUGAUGAUUAGGACAUUUGAUGUCUUUAAGAUAGCUUUUUAGAACUCGGUAUGAGCCUUAUAAGUUUCUAGUGAUGUCAUUGGGGCUGACGAAUGCCACAUCAACAUUCACGGAUUUGAUGAACCAGGUGUUUAAGCCUAUAUGGAUUACUUUGUGAUUUUUUAAUUGAUGAUAUCUUGAUCUACUCCCGCAGCCGAGAGAAGCAUGAUCAAAAUAUUUGGAUCGUUCUUCAGACUCUGGGAGGCAGUCAGUUAUAUGCUAAGUUUUCGAAAUGUGUUUUGGUUGAGUUCAGUUGCUUUCUUGCGUCGUAUCAAUAGAGGGUAUUGUGAGGGAUCCUAAGAAGAUUGAGGCUGUUCAAAAUUGUCCUAGACCUACUUUAGCGACAGAGAUCCGUAGUUUCUUGGAUUAGCAUGUUAUUUUCGUCGGUUUGUGGAGGGGUUUUUAUCUAUAGUAGCCCCAUUGACUAGGUUUACUUAGAUGGGUGCUCCGUUCAGAUGGUCGAACGAGUGUGAGGCAAACUUUUAAGAUCUCAAGAGUGCUUUAACUAUGGAGGCGAUGUUGGUGUUGCCCAUAAUUUCGGCAGCUGAAGGUUUAUAAGAAGAAUUAUCAUGUUCCUGGCCUCGAAUUGGCAGCCAUUAUUCACUCGCUGAAGAUUUAGAGGCACUAUUUUUAUGGCGUGUCGUGUGAGGUAUUCACAGAUCAUAUGAGUUUUCAGUAUAUGUUCAAGUAGAAGGAGCUUAAUUUGAUGCAGAGAAGGUGGUUGGAGCUAUUGAAAGACUAUGAUAUCACCAUCUUGUAUCAUCCUGGGAAGGCUAAUGUGGUUGCCGAUGCUUUGAGUAGGAAGUUAGCAAGUAUGGGAAGCCUUGCGUAUAUUCAGUCGAUAAGAGAUCGUUUGCAUUAGAUGUUCAGGCCUUAGCCAAUCGGUUCAUGAGGUUGGAUGUUUCUUAGCCCAGUCGUGGUUUAGCUUACACAGUUGCUUGAUCUUCCUUGUUUGAGUGUAUCAAGGAUCGACAAUAUGAUGACCCUCAUUUGCUUGUCCUCAGGGACACAAUGCAGCACGCUGAGGCCAAGCAGGUUACAGUUAGAGAUGAUAGUGUUUUGAGAAUGCAUGGUCGUGUUUGUGUGCCUAAUGUGGAUGGACUUCAUGAGUUAAUUCUAAAGGAGGCCCAUAGUUCCCGGUAUUCUAUUCAUCCGGGCGCCUCCAAAAUGUAUCAGGACUUGCGGAAGUAUUAAUGAAGGAAGAGAAUGAAGAAGGAUAUAGUUGUACAUGUAGCUCGUUAUCUCAACUAUCGGCAAGUAAAGUACGAGCAUUAGAGGCCUAGUGGUUUUCUUGAGAAGAAAGAGAUUCUCGAGUGGAAGUAGGAUCGUAUCAGUAUGAUGUCAUUGUUGACUCCCACAAACUCAGAGGAAUUUCGAUGCGGUUUUGGUUAUUGUAGGUAGUCUAACAAAGUCAAUGCAUUUCAUUCAUGUGGAAAUUUCCUAUUCUUCAGAGCGGUUGACCGAGAUUUAUAUUCAUACUGUGCCCAUGCCUAUCAUUUCUGAUUGAGGUACACAGUUUACCUCGCAUUUCUAGAGGGCAGUACAACAUGAGUUGGGAAUGUGGGUUGAGUUGAGCAAAACAUUUCAUCCUCAGACGGAGUGACUGUCCGAGCGUACUAUUUUGAUCUUGGAGGAUAUGCUCCACGCAAGGGUUCUUGACUUCUUGGGAUCAGUUAUUGCCAUUAGCAGAGUUUGCCUACAAUAACAACUAUCAGUUGAGCAACCAGAUGGCUCCCUACAAUGCUUUAUAUGGUAGACGGUGUCGAUCGUCGGUUUCGUGGUUUGAGCCGGGGGAUGCUUGGUUAUUGGGUACAAAUUUAGUGUAGUAAGCCUUGGAUAAGGUUAAGAUCAUUUAAGUUAGACUUUGUACAGUUCAAUCUUGGCAGAAGAGUUAUGUCGAUCAUAAAGUUCGUGAUGUGGCAUUAAUAGUCGUAGAGAGAGUGUUUCUUUGGGUGUCACUCAGGGUGUGAUGCGGUUUAGGAAGAAGGGCAAGUUAAGCCCUAGGUUUAUUUGGCCUUUUGAGAUUCUUAAUUGAGUGGGAGAGGUGGCCAACAGACGUACGUUGCCCCUAGGUUUAUCAGCAGUACAUCUAGUGUUUCAUGUGUACAUGCUUUAGAAGUGUCACGAAGAUCCAUCCCACGUGUUAGAUCCAGCACUAUACUCUUUUACUGCUUGUCCUAUAUGUAUAAAUCUAAGUCCUUUAAUGCUUCCUCAUUACUAUUCAUCUUAAUAGUGACGGUCUAAUCUCAUCUCAUACUUUGACUUUUAUCCAUACAUUGGUGAUUCACCUUAAUGUUGAUCUAUAAUCACUGAUAACUUGAAACCUCUUACGUAGUACAUUAUCGCUAGGGCUCACGUCUCAUCGUGGAAUAUCUGUAGUGAUUUCUCCAAUAUACCAAGGGACAGUACUAUACUUCCAUAACCGUAUAUCAUAACAUCCUAAUAUGAUUCAUCUUAUGAGGGUAUUUCAAUCCUGUGCAAUUCAUAAAAUCCCUUCUCUUUAAAUUAUUCCUCAAUCAAAGUCCUGAAUAUCAUCCUCUUACCUAUCACAAUUAAACCCUUAUUCUACCACUAGGGAAUCAUUUCAUCUCGUCUAAUUGCUCCUAGUCUUAGACUCACCUAUAUUAAUUCAAGUUAUACUGAGCUUUCUAUAACAUACAUAAACCAUUAGUUCUAUCGUUUGAUGGACUUAAUACACAGGUCUUACCUAUUUUUGUCAGCUCCUAACUCACCUUUUCUUAUCCUUACUCCCAUAUACCUAAAGUCUUGUCACUGCGCCAUAUUUUAGCUUGCGACCUACAUAUAUCUAUUUGUACUAUUGACAUCCUUCCUUUAAAUUUCUAGCACCACAUAUUUCCUUUUUUGCCUUCUCAGUUGUCUUUAAAUAUAAGCAAUUACUUUUUUUGAUCGUUCUGCAACUUGCUGCAUGGAUACUUGGCUUAUCAUAGUGCCCCCGAACACUGGAAUUCCCUGUAGCUUGUAUUCUCUCAUAUAUCACCUUUGAUAUUUUUUUUCUGUUCAUUAGCCACAAUAGGUGCCACUUUGUUAUGGAGUGCAUACAAUAUUGUAGUGAGAUUGUUGUUACAAGAUCUUUUCCUUUUUAGGUCACUAUGCUUAGGUGAAAACCUUCUUCCUUAUUUACUCGGCUAGUCUUUCGCGGUAGUACUUAUGAGACCUUUUGGAUCUUGUAAAGUUGUGAUCUUGUUAUACUAUAUACAUGAAGGAAAUUUUUUAUAUUCUUACUCGCCUACAAAUAUCCUACUCACAUAACUUCGUCCCGUUGUGCUCGUAGGAUUACUUCUAAAUUCCGAUUUUGAUUGUCUCCUUAUUGGCACUCUUAAUUAUUCCUGUAAUACUUAUACAAUACAUUUAAAUACCCCAACUCCUCUCUGAGCAUUUCUCAAGGUUUAUGACGUCAUAUCUAUGAGUCUGAAUUCAUUAUAUUAGGAUUCACUAAGUUUAUCUUGCAUGAUCUAUUGACUCGUCUAUAACCUCUUGUUUAUCCAUAACUAGGCUCUUCCGUCAUCAACUCCCAGCUACUCGUUGGCCUAUUCUCACACCAAUGUUUCACGUAAUCUUUCUUUGGUUAUUUCCUUUUUGUUUUAAGUUAUCUAUCAUUCUGGCUCCUUAGGUAUCAACUGUUCGUUUUGCACCUUUUUUAUCAAUAUCAUCGAGCAUAGAACCCUUAUUGCUUCUCCCCGGCAUCAUACAUGCAUAAUGUGUUGGAGUUAUAUUAUAUUUGUAGGACGUGAACAUAUGCAUUCUCAUUCCUUUCACCUUUAUACCACAUGCUUCCUUUUUUAUCCCAUAGUUACCUGAACCAAUAACUCCGAUUUAGUACCAUAUCACACCAUAUUUCUCCCUUUAGUGAUUUAGUACUACGAUGAUCUACCUAUAAAUAUUUUACCUCUUCAUCUUUGGCAUAUUUUCUCAUCAUCAAUGAACCUUAAUCCCCUCAUGGUAACCCUUCUAUACCAGGGAUAACUGAAUUUCUUAUACAUGAAUGUGAUACCUAGUGUCGUUGGCACAAUGUCCCUUAUGGUUAACUUUGCUCAUAGUUCCUACUCUAGGGAAGCAUCUUGUUGAAUAACCUUUAAAGGUUAUACUUCUGUUGUCCAUUUUAUUAUCACCGGCAUGCAAUCUCUAAAAUUCUCAUAAUGGCGACUAUUAUCAAAUCAUUCGAUUCCCAAUUCAUGUUCAGUUUAUCUUGUUCACCAGGCCAUACUUCUUUUUAUUACUCCGGGGUCUUCCUUUUCCUUCCGGUAAUCACGUCGGAGUCACCAACUCAUUUCUCAAAAUAGGGAUAUGGCUUUGUGGCUUAUACACUUUUAUUUCAUCAUGGCCUGUCACCUUUUGUCUUUCCCUUCACUUUACUGUAGACUCUAUCAUCUUGUCAUACUAUUUCUCACACCUUACUUAUAAUAUUUCACUUGUUCACUUCUUAUUCUCCGACUAAUACUUCUAUCUAUCACUUUAUUCUAAAAAAACUUCAACAAAACGUUCUUUCACUUUUAGCUCCUCUUUCUUCAUCUCACUGGCUCUUUGGAAUGCUUAAAACUCUCUCAUUCUCUCUCUCUCUCUCUCUCUCUCUCUCUCUCUCUCUCUUUCUCUGUCUCUCUCUCUCUCUCUCUAGGGGUCGGAGCCAUACUAAGUUAAAUAAUUAUUCCUUUUAGGAUUCCACUGCCUCUCUUCUGAAAUUUCUGAAUAUUCUAGUAUUCAUAUAUGAUUCCACUAUUCUAGAGUUCACCAUCUGCGUGUCUCACAAGGAGAUAUAUUACCCCAUUUGCACUACUCUUCGGAAAUGUUAGCUAAUGAUAAUAAUCCAUCCACAAUUUUUGGUUACUCUAACCCCAACUUGAUCCUGAUAUUACAUUGUUCUCUUAAACUAUAUUUGUCAGUUCCCAUAUGGCAUAAUUGAGAUGUUUGUGGUCAAUUGUAUAUAACUUUGUUACUAUUGAAAGUAACUAAGAAUAAUUAUAUUUCUCUACCUGAAUUGCAAAUACUGAUAACCUUCAUUAUCUGUGUACCUCGUACUUCUUUUUUUUCAUGUUAUUUCUUUCACUUAUUGAAACUUAUAUCCACCUCCUAAUUCUCUCGUUUCUCUUUACAACAAGAGUGGAUAGAUAUUCAUGCCUCGGGACUCCUUAUCAAGAGGCUCAUAUAUCUUAGUACACACAUGAUCUGCUGAAGACCUAACAUUUACGCAUUAUAAGCAUGAUGCAAAAUCGAGUUCCUCUGAUAAACUCUUCCAUAUCCACAUUUAAUCUCUUACAAACUGUCUUUCUGGAUGUAAACAUUGUCAUAUCAUGAAUAAGAUAGAGUUUAGGAAAUUGAGUUCUUACAACUUAGCUUUACCGCAUGAUCAUGAAUAAGAAGAAAGAGUGACAAUCCUAACUGCCCUGUAGCCUACUGCUUAUAAGUGUGGUGCAUUACACACCUAUAAAUAAGGCUCUACUAGACACAGCUUGUAGAUUUCCUAGGACAGAACUACUCUGAUACCACUUUUGUCACGAUCCAAACCGAAGGGCCGCGACAGGCACCCGGUGCCUUACUCAACCGAGUACCAACAUAUCAUAUCUUUCUUAUCAUACUAUCAUGAGUAAAUGAGCCAGGAAACUCGUCAUGGGAUAACAAGAAUAAAAAUAAGGAAAUACUCAACAUAUGAUGGCCCAACAUGAUGUACAAUCUUAUACAUAUGACAUACGUGCCUAUAAGGCCAACAUGACCAUUUGUAAACUCAAAGCAUAAGCCGACAAGGCUAUACACGUAUCCAUACACAUGGCAUUUAUCUACAAGCCUCUAAGAGUACAUAAAAUCAUUAAAGUCAGGACAGGGCCCCGCCAUACCAAUUAAUAUAUGUACAAAGCAUACUGACCACAAUUCUGGAGCAAGUGGAGUGCACUAACACCUUCUGCUAAGCUGAUAGCCUACUGAGAAGACUCUCAACCUGUCUAUCAGGACCUGCGAGCAUGACACGCAGUAUCCUCAGGAAAACAGGACGUCAAUUCGGAUAAUGUACCGAGUAUGUAAGGCAUGAAACCAUAAACAAGAACUGUAAUGUAAAGAGUGAUAGAGAAGAUAAAACCUGUAAUAUUUGAGUGCUUCUGGGGGAUACUGGCAUGAAAUGCAAAAUACAUAUAUAUACAUAAACUUUUGAAAAUAGCCUGUGUGUGCAUCAUCAUCAUCAUAUCAUCCCGGCCUCAAAGAGGACUCGAUAAAAUCGUACCCCGCCAUCAUAAGGCUCGGUAAAAUCGUACCCGACCACGUGGAGCUCGGUAAACCCAACUGACUAGUAGUUUCACAAUAGGUGUUGUACCCAGCCAACUUUAGCGUGGCUAAGUAGAGUAAAAUAGAUACAUAUAUUUAAUGUAGCUCGACUCACGGAAUCACGUUCUAACCCUUUAAUAGUGAUGUAAGGUCAUUACAUCUUCAAUUAACAUUACGGACAUCCCUACCAUUAAUAUGUACCUUAGUAGGAUAUAAGGAUCAUACACACUUGCUUAGAAUAUCUUUAUAAGAAAACAAUAACAUGGACAACCUUAGUUGCUAGGAGUAGAUUCGUUAUUAAAUAGCAGGUCGUUUGACAUUAAUUUAACAUUCAUGCCAAAAGAAUGAAGGAAGUGCCUUAACAUACCUUGUAUAUUCUUCCCAAUUUCAAGCUAUGCAAUUUCAUGGCUCCUUAGUCUACAAUAAGAGAAAUGACACUCUCGUAAUCGUUUAAGCGUCGUAACUAUUAUGUAUCGACCACAACCUAUUUUACAAUGAAACAGACAACACCUCCCCUAUAUAAAUGACUUCACACAAGUCAAAAUAAUCACAAACAUCCCAUUAUACCUCUAUCACUUCAUACAUAACACGACAACCAUGAUAGUGUCAAACAAUUCAAAAAUGUUAUGAUGAACGACCAGCAAAUAACCUUGCCUUUAUGUGGUGUUUCUCCACACCCUUCCUCCUCUAAACUCAAUACCAGCACGAAACAGCCCAAAAAUAGUCCCACAAGUUCAUCAAGUCAAAAAUAAUUGUUCAGCUUACUUAAACACGUUUCGACUUGUCUUUUCUUUCAAAUUGAGAAAUACGACAAAAAGUAAAUUAUUAUACCUAUUAUCCAAUAAAAAAGCCAUGAAUUCAACUUAAAAAUAAGUUCACAACCAGCCAACCAUUACAUAAGAACAAACAAUAUAUCAUUCUUUUGAAACUAGCUAGGUCUAUUCUUUUCGAUCGAGUGACAACUCUCAAACGCAUAGAUAAUUGAAGGAGAAGCAUAAACUUACUUUUUACUGAUACUGAGUAUAACCCAAGAAACCUAGUUUUUUUUAUCAAAAUAAUUUCCUCAACACAACUAUAAUAAGCCAAAUGAGAAACUAGUAAGCUGUCCGGACGUUUCAGCAUUAGAAUCGCGUCGUAACACAUGGAAUAACCUAGGGUUUUUGUGGAAUUUUUGGGGUGGAGUUGUAGGGAUUUAAUUUGGCUUUAUUGGUCUGAAAGAUAAGUGAAAGAAAUGAGUUUAAUAUCCCUUAAAAGAACCCUCUUGUCCGACUUUGGGGCUUCUAAUUGAAGCCUCUGCUUUUGGCAAGUAGGUGAUGCACCUACUUGUCACCUACUAGCUACGGGGUCUUGUAAAAAUGCGAAUAUCUCUAUACUAUGAGAUCAUAUUGACAAAUGGUUUAAUGAAUUGGAAACUAGACUCAUAUAUCAAUUCAAUAUGUAGAUCAUCCCAUGAUGCAAAGAAUAUUGGGAGAAAAGCUCAGUUAUAUAUUAACCUAAAUUUCAACUCGUUUUUGAAUGUAACUUGUGAUGACCUUUUCCAACUUUUGUUGCACAACUUGCUUGAGUUUAAAACAUAAUACACUACUAUUAUAUGAAUAAAAUAACUUAUAAUAUAACCUCCUCAUCAUGUUAAUCACCCUUGAGUCACCCCUGUGUCACCCAAAAGUAUAUGUUAUAACAUUCCAAACUUGUCGACAUUCGACGAAACUUAUUUUCUUUAAUUCGUUUAGCUUCCAAGCCUUCAAGUCCUAUUGCUACUUGGUAUCAAUGAUUUUAAAUGUUUGUAACCUCCGUGUUAACAUGAUGAACUAACUUUGUAAAUUUUUCAAAGAUGAUUCCAUUUCUGAGCUUACAUUAAUUGUCUUAUGACGUACUCUUACUUACGAAAACAUGGUGUAUAACAACUUUCAUUUUUCUUCUAUGCGAUCGCGUUUUAUUGUUUGCGAUCGCCGUGCUUAGAAGUUAUACCCUAUGCAAUUGUAACCUGUUAUCUGUGGUCGCAUUGUCCAACAAACGUUACCCUAUGCUAUCGCAAUCUCUUAUCCGCAAUCGCGUAGAUCAAAUCUGCCCAGUUGUUUUACUCCUCCAAAUAGAACCCGUUACGGGAUUUUCACAAAACUUCAUAAACCUUGUCUUCUCCAAAGAUCUAGGACGAUUCUUGAAGCUUUCCUUCACCAUAAUAUCUUGGUAAGUAAUCUCCAACUCGUUUUCUUCCAUUUUCAUCAACAUCUAAUGAAUUUCUAGGCCUAAACCAUGUGGAUAAGGGUAGAAAAUUAGGGAUUUGGGUAGAGUUAGGGCAUUUAAAUUAAUUGUGAUUUAGACCUUAUUUUGGGUUCAAACUUUUGAAAUAAUCACAUAUUAGGGUUUGUGAUGAAUAGAUGAUCGGAUUUUAGUUCGAACUUAGUGUUUUGACCAAGUGGGCCAAUGGUCGAUUUUUGGAAUUUUGGGAAGAAUGAUUAGAAAGCUAUAAUUAGGCAUUAGAUUCGAGUUGUUUAGCGUUUAUUGAUGUUAUGAAAUCAUUUAUGUCUAUAUACAAUUGAUUUGGAGCCAAAUUCAAGAGGAAAAAUGUUAACUGAGGAUUGAGUUGGCCGUGAAAGUUUGAGGAAAGUGUUCGGUCUAACCAUAGCUUGAGGGAUUAGGAGUUGAGUCAUAUUUGCUACUUGCUCCUUGUUGAGUCGACGUAUUGGCAUGGUGACGAGUAUCUAUGCAUUAGUGUCAAGCAUGACCGUGAGUCUUAAAUUGAAAGUUUUUUUGGUCUUAAAUGUCAUUUCGAAUGCUUUUACUAAUGAUCUAUUAUAUAGAGAAAAUAUUUAUUUAUCAUCAUAGCUCAUAUUUAUAGUUGAGAAUUUUCAUUAAUUGAGCUGAGUACAAGCUAAGUUAUGGUUGGUUAUAACUGAUUCUCCCUUAUCGGGAUGAUUAUUUUGAUAUUGUUGUCCCUUGCUGGGAGAUUAUUAUAUUGCUUUUGUUCCCUUGCCGGAAAGUUAUUAUAUUGCUUUGUUCCCUUGCCAGUAUUUCUUGUGAUUAUGUGAUGGCAUAGAAAUAGGAGCUGGUUGUAUGCCUACCACAAGAUUGAUGAAAUGGGAGAGGCUGGUAUUCCUAUCACAAGAUUGAUGAAAUAGGAGCAGGUGGUACGACUACCACAAGAUAGAUAAAAUGGGAGCAAGUGGUACGCCUACCACAAGAUUAAUGAAAUGGGAGCGGGUGGUACGCCUACCACAAGAUAUGAUGAACUGAGAGCGGAUGGUACGCCUCCCAUAAGAUAUGAUGAACAGGGAGCGGGUGGUACGCCUACCACAAGUUAUGAGAAAUUGGAUCGGGUUGCACGCCUGCAACAAGAUGAAAUUGAAAGUGAAAGUUGCCUUUAUUACUGUUUAUCCUUGUUAGAAGAUAAAUUAUAGUUUUCGUAUUGUUCUUUGAUAUUCUAUUUUAUCUACUACCCCCAGUAUGUUCCCCUUUCCCAGCUUUAAUUUCUUAUUACCUGUUUACUUUUCUGUCAUAUAUUAUGUAACUGCACAUGUUUAUUUGGAGUCUGGUCCUAGCCUCAUCAUUACCUUGCCUUCGUUAGGCCAGACACUUACCAACACAUAGGGUCGCUUGUGUUGAUGCUACACUCUGCACUUAUCUGUAGAUACUGGAGCAGCGUUUGGGCAACAACAUUAGUUGGGGAGCCAGCCUUCAGUCCACAGAGACACCGAGAUAGCCUUGCAGGAGUCCGCAGGCCCGACGCCUCCUCUAUCUUAUAUUUCAUUCUUUUAUCUCGUGCAUUCGAGACAAACAAUGUUUUAUUUCUUUCAAACGGUUGUAUUUAGCACUCUUAGUAGUCCAUGUAUGUUGUGACACCAGUUCUUGGGUAGAGGCAUAUGUUGAUUUCUGCAGUAUUGUUUAGCAUAUUUAAUUUAAGUCUUCUGCUUUAAUUUCAUAUCCUGUUGUUAUUGAAGUAUUUAACGCUUGAAAGAUUUAAAAUAAAAGAGUUAGGAGUUUAUGAUUUCGUGGCUUUCCUAGCAUUCACGAGUAGGUGCCAUCACAAACCUAAGGGUGGGAAAUUCUGGUCAUGACAGUUGAGUAGAAAAAGGGUGAAUUACUAUUGUAUGGUUAGAUCGGGUUACACGCCGCAACAUGAGGAAUAAGGGUGGAUUGAAACAGAGGAAUAAGGGUAAUUAUUCAUAUUGAUAUUGAUUAUGUGGUGGGAUCAGGAUGCGCGUCGCAUCAGUUAUAUGUUUAUAUACUUUUAUCUUACUGUGUAGGUUAUUCUGUAAUUUAGCUUUUCACUUCUGUAUUGGUUAUAGUUGGGUACUGAUGAGAUAAUGGAGUUAUGUAUUCUUUCCUUGCAAAAUUACUAUUUUAUUUGUUUCGUUCUUAUUUCUAUCUUAUUAGGAACUGUAUGAUAGUCCUAUUGUAACUACCCUGCCAUAGCCUCGUCAUUGCCUUGUCGAGGUUAGGCUCGACACUUACCAGUACAUGGGGUCAUUGUACUGAUACUAUGCACCUUCUGUGCAGACUUUUGGAGCUGGUAGUGGCUGAUCAAGAGGUUAGUUGCAGGUAUUUCAUCUAGGAGACCCAAGGUAGUCCUGCUAGCAUCCGCAGGCCCUGGCGUCUCCUUCUACAUCUCUGUAUUGUUGUUUUUCUUUACUUCCAAAACAAAUAUAAUUUCUUUCAGAAAGAUGCUUAUAGAUAUUUAUAGUAUGUUCGUGGAUUAUAAUACUAGAUUCUAGGUAGUAGUAAUAGUUAUGGUAUUGUUAAUAGUAUAUAGACAAAAGGUUAUUUAUGUAAUUCUAUUUUUAUUUCUACUUGAUUUAGUGUGUUAAUUUUAAUAUAUGAAAGGUACAGGAAAACAGUUAAUACAACUCUAAUGUUAGCUUGCCUACUAAGUGUGAUGUUAGGCACCAUCACGGUCUCGAGGGUGGGUUCCGUGUUGUGAUAUGUGGAUUGGGUUCCAACUCUUGUUAGGUUAAUUAUUGUUUCGACCGCCUCACCACCUAAUUGUGGUGAGAGUUUGGGCGAGGUUUCUAAGUCCUAAAGAUGAUUUACUAUUGUCCAAUAUACACAUACUGAUCGACAACUAUGUCAAGCAUGGACUCCAAUCAUUUGGGAAUUGCUUCACGAGAUAUCAGUUGAUCUGGACGGAUGAGGAGGAUGCCGAAAAUACAACCUUUAUCAUACCAUAGGGAAUAUACUGCUAAUAAAUUAUGCCGUUUGGUUUGAAAAAUGUUAGAGCCACCUAUAUGAGAGUUAUGAAAACCAUCUUCUACGAAAUGACACACAAGGAAAUAGAGGUGUACGUAGAUGACAUCAUCAUCAAAUCCAAAAGGAGUUCGGAUCACAUAGAAGACUUGAGGAAAUUCUUUGAUCGGCUUCGAGUGUAAAAUUUGAAACUGAACCCUACAAAAUAUGUCGUUGGAGUCCUCUGCUAGAAAAUUGUAAGGAUUCAUCGUCAGUCGCCGAGGGAUUGAAUUAGACCCUUCAAAAGUAAAAGAGAUCUAGGAAUUUCCACUUACGGCGAAUAAGAAAGAUGUGAUGAGCUUUUUAGGGCAUCUCAAUUACAUCAGCCAUUUCAUAGCACAAUCAACCGUAAUAUGUGAUCCAAUUUUGAGGAUGCUGAGGAGAUGUUGCCACAAGCUGGCUGAAGAACGGCAGAAAGUCUUUGACAAAAUCAAGGUGCAUUAAUCUAGACCACCCGUUCUGGUCCCACCAAAACUUGGAAGACCUCUAUUGCUUUAUUUGUCUGUAUUGGACGAGGCUUUUGGUUGUGUUCUGGGACAACAUGAUGACACUAGAAGAAAGGAGCAGGCAGAAUAUUAUCUGAGCAAGAAUUUAUGCCUUACGAAGCCCGAUACUCUUUGCUGGAAUACAUUUGUUGUGCUUUGACAUGGAUAGCUCAGAAGUUGAGGUGUUGUUUCUGUUGCAUAUAUCAUAUCAAGGAUGGACCCGCUAAAAUACAUCUUCUAAAACCUAUGCCUAGGGUAAGUUAAAAAAUUUAUAGAUAUUUCUGAGUGAUUUUAACUGCAUAUAUGUAUCUUAGAAGGUAAUAAAAGGGAAAGUAUUAAUAAAUCAUCUAGCUGAAAAUCCCAUAGACGGAGAAUAGGAACCAUAGAAAACGUAUUAUCCCGAUGAAGAGGUAUCAUUUUUAGGAGAAAGUAUCACCGUGGGAUACGAUGGUUGGAGAAUGUUCAUCGACGGAGCUGCAAUCUUCAUAGGGGUGGUAUUGGAGCUGUCUUAGUAUCAGAAACCGGCCAAUAUUAUUCGGUAUCCACAAAAUACAUGUUUUGAUGCACCAAAAAUAUGGCAGAAUAUGAGGCUUGUAUCUUGUGACUUAGGUUGGCCAUUGACAUGAAUGUUCAGGAGCUACUGAUAAUUGGAGAUUCUAAUCUUUUGGUGUAUGAGUUCUAGGAGAAUGAGCUAUAACAAACACCAAAAUAUUGUCAUAUUUGUACUGUGUGCAAGACUUGAUCAAGAGGUUUACAAAGAUAGAAAUCAAACAUGCUAUAAGGGUUAAGAAUGAGUUCGCAGAUGCAUUAGCCACGUUGUCUUCUAUGAUACAAUAUCCAGACAAGAAUUUCAUUGAUCUUAUCCCAAUAGGAAUUCACAAAUAGCCUGUUUAUUGUGCAUAUAUUGAAGAAGAGAUUAAUGGAAAUUCGCGGUUCCACAAUAUCAAAAGGUACCGACAAAAAAGAGAAUACCCAGAGACUGCUACUCAUACUUAGAAGCACACACUCCAAAGGCUAUCCAACCAUUUCUUUCAAAGUAGGGGAAUUAUGUAUAGAAGGAAUCCUGACCUGGGGUUACUAUAGUGUGUCGAUGCCAAGGGAACAUCUAGAUUUCUAGAGGAAAUACAUGACAGAACUUGCAGACUGCACAUGAAUGGCUUCGUCUUAGCCAAGAAAAUACUAAGAGAACAAUAUUUAUGGAUGACUCAAUGCGGCCAAAAUUGAUUAUCAUUUGUUAUCAUUUAUUUAACAGCAACUCUUUCAUCAUUCCCAGGUAAAGAGGCGUAGCUGUUGAUACCCAAUUUUAUCCUUAUAUUUUGUCAAAUAAUAUAUAUAUUUUGAACAUGUCAUUUGGAAUAACUAUUUAGUUUAUAAGAAUUAUACAUGUACUUUUUAAAAUAAAUUUUAGCAAUAUUUAGAGCUUUAGAGCUAAUUUUCUUGCGUUUAAAUUACCUGAAUAUUCACUAAUUAUUUCUGUAAAUCAUUUCUUGAUUACCUAAUCAUCUAAAAUUAUUAUUUUCAUCCAAAAUACAUGUUUCAAAUAUAUUGUUAUACUUCAUUUAUAUAACUACUUUAGUAUUUUAUGCUAUUUGUACAAUCUUGCAAUAAUAGCCUAUAUUUUGUAAUUUUAUUGCAUUUGUCGUUUUAUUCAAGGUCAAAAAAAUAUUUUACAUUUUAUGAUGUUUUACUAUUGUUUUAAUGUAUUAAUUUUCAUAAAUAGAAUUUUUAUAUAUUUAUUUAAUAUAAAAUUAUUUCCUCUUAAUCUCCUAUUUUAAAAACUGGCCCAAUUUUGAGUUAAUAUUUUGGACCAAAUAGACCCAAAUCACAGGACGAAUCCCCAAGCUCAAGCCAAACAACCCCUUAAUCUCAACCCAGGCGGAACCCGUUUCAAAUAACCCGCCCCCAUUUCCCUUGCGAUCCUGUCAUUUGAUCUCAAAUCAUCAAUGGCCCAUAAUAAACUCACCCAUUUUCUUAUAUCCCGUAAGCUAAACCUAAAGACCCAUUUCACUAGUCUACUGACUCUAUACACUCUCAGACUCCUCCCUCCUUCAGAAACCUAAUCAUUGCCCUCUUAAUCUUUCUCCUAAUCCCGUUAACAAUGGGAUUCACCCAUUAUUUGCUUACCAUAUUUGAAUUCUUUCACUACUGGUUGUUUCUUUAUGGUAUUAGAUAAUACUUGCUUUAUUUUGGCAAGUGUAAAUCUUUGAAUUAAAGCGACACUAUCUUCAAUCUUCAAGAUCUAGACGGUAUUCUAUCUGUAUACGUUCAUGGAAAGAUGAUUGGUCACGCCCAACUCUAGUUAUAAAAAGGAUAAGCAGUCACUACAAAUAUAAUCUGGUCUAGAAGUCUGGAGUAGAAUCCUACAGAGAAUUAAGGUUUCUCUACAACUAUUCUCUAUCACCAAGAAGAUAAGUUUGAAAAAUUUCUAAGUUAUAAAUAUGAAAACUCAUAUGUCUAACUAAUUAACUAACAAAUUGAAAUAGAAAAUUAACAACAAAAGACACUAAGAGUUAGAGACAUGGUUAAGGAGGUUUAGAGUUAUGAUUUUCCCAAUUGUCAAAAUUCUUCCCGCUAUGUUUCCUACAAUUUCUUCUAAAUAUUAUCUACUGAUCGUGAGCACUUCAAGUGUCGUAAUUCAUUAUUGAGCAACUAAUAAAAUAUACUAGAUAUACUCUCUCCAACUACACUACUGGCUUUAUCUUGCCGUUCACUAUGACCACGUCAAAGCUUCGUUAUCUCUAAUCCCGCUUUCAAACCUGCCAUAUUGAUCUCUCAUAUACCACAGGAGUGACAUUGUUCAACUACCACCUAAAUAUGUGUCCUUUCUCAAGAAACACAUAAUAAAUAGGCACAAUCAAUCGAUUGCCAUUCAAUCAACUAAAAUAAGCACGUAGUUGAACAAGUAGAUAAAUCCAAAGGUUAAAUUAUAUAAAACAUUACAAGAAUUUAUACUAUAAAAGGUUCCGUCAAAACCCUAGAUAACACAUUAGCUUUUCAUAAUAGUAUGCAUAAAUACAAUACUACAAUUCAUGACCAAUAACAGAAAGAGUAAGUAGGAAUUGAAAAAAUUAUAGAAAAAGUCUCCGCCUUGUGCAGCCGCACUCGCCACCUACUUUUCACCCUGUUUUGCUAAACAUUUGGAAAAGUGUAAAGCAUGAACUUUGUUAUCCAUUUGAAUAGCUUUCCAAUUAUAUAUAAUGGAGCCCAAAUGGAGUUUUGAGCGAAAAAUUAUGUGCAUUUUACUAUAUAGUACGCAAUAUGCCGACUCGAUUCUUCGCUCGUUCUUAACUAUCAUCCGUUGAUCCCUAAAGAAAAUCCUAACUCAGUUGCUUAGGCUCUGAAUCAGACUUCAAAGCUCUAAAUCACUUGAAUUCAUUCCAUACCAUCUACCAUAGCUCGGAAUCACUCCUACAAGGCAUAAAACAUAUAAUUAGUGCAAAACACUAGGGGUUAAAGCUCAAACUCACUUGAAGUGUAGUAAAUUAGAGUGUAGUAAGUGACCAAUACAUAGUUAUAACCGAUCACCAACACCUCACACUUAAGCCAUUGCUCGCCCUAGAGAAAGCAAACUACACUUUAUAUAGACACGACUUUCUUAAAAAAUUCUCCUAAGUCAUCUCACCAGGAAUAUCUAAAAUAAACUAAGAACAAAAGCGUAAUAUCGUCACCUCAAGAUUAUAUUCACAUAUACCACAUAUUAUUCCCAACUCCCCCACUUACUCUAACAUAGAGGUCAUUGCAUUACCUUUUCUUCAUGAAUCAAUUGACCUCACACAACAAAAGAGAGUAGUUACAUACAAUAUACAAGUUAAGAACAAUUAGGAACUCAAGAUAGAAAGAAUUCACUCACUCUCAGAAACGACAUUCAUAAGCCACAAAAGAUACACCAUAGGCUUGUCCGUAGUGUACUACUAUACUAAUCGAGCUCAUUCAGUAUAGGAUCAUAUAUGACUUUAUUUGGUUGUAAUGUCCGCGGGACGUGUAGGAUAUAUUUAGAUAUAAGAGCGUCUACACCUCCCUAAGCACUUUAAUACAUAUACUUAUGUCAAACCAAACUCCACCUUCACAUCCAGGUAUAUUACGCCAUACUUCUUUAAGAACAAUUACAUUAAGAGUCACCACCUAUCAAGAAAUAUUUUUUUUCACCGUAGUACAACUAGUUUUUCCUUUUCUUUCUUUUUCAAUUCAAGUGGCUCUUACUUUUUAAUAACAAUGCACCUUUCUCCUUAUUUCAUUAGUUCCACUCAAAAGCAAAAUCAACCACUCCACACUUUAACUUAUACCCAGUUCAUACUAAUUCAAGUGCUCGUGAAAGGUUAGAAAGUUCAUAUAGAUGGUUAAUUCAAACAAAGGGGUAAGGCUUGUAAUGUGGUUGCCAAAGAAACAGAGUUACAAACUCAAAUGGGUUAGCUAUGAUACAUAACAAUUAGGCGAGUAAUACAUACAUACAUAUAUAUAUAUAUAUAUAUAUAUANNNNNNNNNNNNNNNNNNNNNNNNNNNNNNNNNNNNNNNNNNNNNNNNNNNNNNNNNNNNNNNNNNNNNNNNNNNNNNNNNNNNNNNNNNNNNNNNNNNNNNNNNNNNNNNNNNNNNNNNNNNNNNNNNNNNNNNNNNNNNNNNNNNNNNNNNNNNNNNNNNNNNNNNNNNNNNNNNNNNNNNNNNNNNNNNNNNNNNNNNNNNNNNNNNNNNNNNNNNNNNNNNNNNNNNNNNNNNNNNNNNNNNNNNNNNNNNNNNNNNNNNNNNNNNNNNNNNNNNNNNNNNNNNNNNNNNNNNNNNNNNNNNNNNNNNNNNNNNNNNNNNNNNNNNNNNNNNNNNNNNNNNNNNNNNNNNNNNNNNNNNNNNNNNNNNNNNNNNNNNNNNNNNNNNNNNNNNNNNNNNNNNNNNNNNNNNNNNNNNNNNNNNNNNNNNNNNNNNNNNNNNNNNNNNNNNNNNNNNNNNNNNNNNNNNNNNNNNNNNNNNNNNNNNNNNNNNNNNNNNNNNNNNNNNNNNNNNNNNNNNNNNNNNNNNNNNNNNNNNNNNNNNNNNNNNNNNNNNNNNNNNNNNNNNNNNNNNNNNNNNNNNNNNNNNNNNNNNNNNNNNNNNNAUAUAUAUAUAUAUAUAAGGCUCAACAAAGAAACUCCUAUAUCACUUUCAAGACUUAACAAAACUACUAUUUCGCUUUGCAAACACAUGGAAACGUUCUAAACAUCAAAUGUAAUGCACUGGAUAACACACAAACUUCAUACACACAUGGAACAUAACCCACUCAAGAUUGAUUUCAUCAAAACACUCUAGUCAAAGCAAUUAAGCAAAUUUAAAAUCAAACAAUUUAAGGUACUUAUACAAGAGUCAAAACUGAGCCUAAGAGUCACAACCAAAGUACUUACUAUUCUCAAGGCAUAACAAAGUCAAGAGAUAUUGCUUUAAUUUAAAACAUAGCAUAAUGGCUCCUAUUCUUUUUAAAAAACUAACUGCACCAGAUUCAAACAAAACCUUUGGAAAUGAACAGCAGUACAAAGAAAAACCAAUGGGGGUUGCUACACUACCUAUUAAGAAAAUCCUUUUGUCCUUUUUCUUUAGACUUAAACCCCUCAAGAAAAUUUUUUAAUAGAUACAUCGUCAAGAAAAGUCCAAUCUUUACUUUCAAAUAUUAUUCAAUUAAACUAACACAACUAAAGUAGCAUAGAAAUUCACACAGUCAAUAUCCUUAUACUACACGUAAAAUUGUGCAUUGUCCAUAAUUCACAUAAUAACUAUAACAGGGUAAAACAAACUACCUGGUAGGCCAAAGGCCGAAGCACUAGUAGCUCAUGGGGCACUCAGGCAUCUCCGAAGCUUGGUCCUUCGUACUGAUUCAUCACACUUAGUUCCAACCGCCUGGUUUGCUGUCGCAUCCUGCCAAUAGCUUUCCUUUCUAUGCUCGUGGAAAAUAAAAAAUCAGCAAAAAAAUAAAAAAUGAAUGAAAGAAAUAAAGUUGGGUUGCCUCCCAACAAGAGCUUGAUUUAAAAAUGUGGCACGACGUGAAUUACUUUUUGCUGCUACCUCGAGAUUAUAAAUUGAACCUCAAAUUUUGCAUCAAGUUUUCGGCUAUGUGAUAAAUAGGAAUUAUAGUUCCUUUUGCACUCCUUUUUACUUGAGUUUUGAUUUAAAAUUCACACAAAAUAGUCAUAAAGGCUUACAUGUUGUACUUAUUUGUAGGGUUUGGCAAAAAGGGUGACAAUGUUAAAACCAGCAUAAAAGGAGUGAAACAUACACAAGUUCCUAGAGCAAGUCCAAGCACAGUUGAAACAGAUCCACUCGGCCGCAAUCCAUUUCAUGCGGUCUGCAGUGAUGAGAUCCAGAGAGGUGUAAUUUUUGGUAACUCAAACACUGCGGCCGCAAAGCAUUUUGCGUGGACCGCAGUAGCCUCACUGUGGUUGCAAAUCAAUUUAUGCGGUCCGCUGAGUUGAGAUUCAAAGAGUUGUGAAAAAUGGAGAUUGAAGCCAGCGUGGCCACAAGCCAUUUUGUGCGGUCUAUAUUGAAGUCACCGCGGCCGGGUGCAUGUUAUGCGGCCCGUAGUGGCCAGAUUAAGAGAAUGCAUAAUAUAGCCAAAAAGCCCCAACGUAGUCCGUAAUGCAUUUUGUGCGGACUGCAAUACCUCGUUAAGGGUGUUUUUUCCUACAAAAUUUUGCCCAGUAUAAAUAGUUUUUUUUUCACAUUUUUAGGUUUUCUUUGUUAUUCUGUUCAAGACUAGAGCACAUGAACAAUUGUAUUAGGUUAUUUUGAGUAAUUUGUAGCUAGAUUUACACGGAAUCAUUUUUAUUUUAGUUUGAAAUUAAAUCAGAUGGAUUAUUCUUCAUCUAUUUAUCAAUUUUCUUCCAUUAUUAUGAGUACCUAGACACAUUAGCUAGGAUUGUGGCUCAACCCUAGUGUGAGUAUUUGAUGGGUCUUGAGUGUUAAGGCUUGAAUGUUUAUGGGGUGUUUGAUAUCAGGACUUAUUUGGGGUUUCCAUGUUGAAUUAGUACUUGCAAAUUGUAAUUUACGCCUUUUUGACUUGGGUUGUUCUUGAGAAAGAGUACUUGAGUCUAUAAAAAUAAGUCCAAUAAGGAAUUGGGGCAUAUUCAAGAGCUUGAUAGCCUCAAUUAAAUGGUUAAACCUAGAGAUAGUUAUACCCGUUUUGAACUUAAAUUUUUUGCACAACUAUCAUACCCAAUUGGUCUUGAGAAAGUCAAUUAGGAAACUAUCGAGAGGUAUAGAAUGAGAAUUUUCGUGCAUUGGUAUAUCGUAAUCCCCAACAUGACAACUUUGCCUUAGAUUCGAGAACCCAUCAAGUAUCACCUAGGAGAAAGUCACUUCCCUAGUGCCUCUUUUACAAUUUAGAAAACCUUACAAAGAAUAAUUCUUAGUUGAAUUUAGCUUAUCGUUAGCACAAUUAUGAGAAGUAAUAAUCAACUAAAAGAUGAUUGGAAGAGUAAUUAAGGGCACGCCGCAUCACUAGUUUAGAUAGGAAUCCAAUUCCCACUUCUAGCACCCUGUGGAUUCGAUCCCGAUCAUCUCGAGUAAAAGGUGCUUCAACCGCUCUCGUUACUUUGUAGUGGCACAUGGUUGGAACCGAUCACGUUAUCUGCACCAUUUUCGAUAAGCUAAUGGUUUUGGAUAUCCAUCUAAAUAGUUUUGUACAUUGGUCUUCAUUCCUUCUGUGUUACUAAUUUUUAAGUGUCACAGGUACAAAAUGGUAGCAAAUAAUGUAGCUCAUUGACAUCUUUUGCUACAGGAAGAGGUAGAUGAUAAUAUUUAUGAUGAGGUUCCUAUAGUGCCUCAAGCUCAAAGGAGAGGCCGUUAGGACAAUUAUAAUGUUCCAGAACCUCCCCCAGCACCUCUAAGAGUGGCUCCUCAAGUGCUUCCCCACCAAGGAUAUGCUAGUGAAAUUGUUCCACCACGGAUCCAAGAAGGCAAUUUUCAAAUUACAAAUGUGAUGCUAACAUUGUUGGAGCAUCGAGGGUAUUUAACGGGUGAUCCCCAUCAGAAUGCCUACAAACAUAUCAAGGGUUUCAUGGAUACCUGUUGGGGGAUAAGGAAAAUUAAUGUGUCAGAGGAUGCACUUUGGUUGAGAUUAUUCCCUUUCUCACUUAGAGGGAAGACAUUGGAUUGGCUUAAACGGCUUCCUAACUAUUCCAUCACUAUUUGGGAUGGGUUGGAAAAUAAAUUCAUUACAAAGUGUUUCUCGCUGGGGCAUAUGGCAACAUUAAGGGAUGAGAUUUUAGCUUUCAAGCAGGAGCCCACCGAAAUAUUACAUGAGAUAUGGGAGAGAUACAAAACCAUGGUAAAGGAAUGCCCCAACUAUGAUAUGACUUAGGCAAUGAUAUAACAUACAUUUUACUAGGGCAUUAACAUAACACAUCGGUGCAUAGUGAACCAACUUACUGAGGGUGAUCUAAUGAAGUUUUCUUAUGGUGAGGCUUGUGAGAUUCUUGAUGAGAUAGCUGACACGUCCUUCGCUUGGCAACGUAAAGUCAAUGUGUCACAGGGUGACCCCACAGUCACUCACUUGAACAAAAAGCUAUAUGAUCAUAAGAAAAUAAUAGCAGAGCUGACAACAAUAAUGAACCAGCUAGCUAAGGCAAAAUUAUAGUAGGUUCAAAAUUUGCUCCAAGUAAAUAUUGUGAAGGGUGUCAACAUGCUAGUGAACAAAAGAAAAUAAAUAGGUCAAUAAAACCAAGAUAUUCCGGAUCAAUAUGACAAUAACUGUGGUGGAUUCCAAGAUGUUGGUUAUGAUGGGCAGAACUAAGAAGUGCAACAUGUGAACAAUUAUUAGGGCAAAAGGGGAAAUUCUUCCAACCAACAACAAUGGAGAUCCCAAGGCAAUUGGGGCAAUUAACAACAACAAGGGAAUAGUAGUUGGGGAAACAAAAACCAAAAUUACAAUUGGGGAAAUCAAAACAAUCAGGGUAAUUUGAACGGCAACAACAACAACUUGGGUGGUAACAAUAAUCAGGGUGGUUAGAACAAUGGCAAUCAAGAAAACUGGGGGCAAGGCUUUCAAAGACCCCCAAUGUAUCAACAACCGAUCAAUCCACCCUUGUAUACAUACUAAGGUCUUAGUUCUUCCAACAAUGAAAUGGGGAGAAUUGAAUUAUAUUUGAAAUGAUGAUAAAAAAGAAUGGUGACUCUGAUGCUUAAUUGUCUUCCCAUAAUACUUCAAUCAGAAACUUGGAGGUUCAAUUAGGCCAAGUAUAACAAUCCUUGAAUACUCUCCCAAAGGGGACUCUACCAAGUGAUACGGUAGUUAACCCAAAGGGUGGGAACAAUUUUGGUCUUGUUAUGACAGUAACUACAAGGACUGGAUGAGGUGGUGAUGUGAAUGCUUCCAAACAAAAAACAAUUUUGAGUGAUGAAGUUGAGUUGCAAGAAGAUGAGAUUCCUUUGGUUGUUCAAAAUUUGAUUGAUGAUAACAUGAAUAAGGAAACGAGGAUUGAUAUAAAGAUGCCAAGGUGGAGACUCAGCAUGAUGUGAAUCCGUCUAGGGAACACAUAACAAACAUGCUGGGAACGGUCAUGCCUAAAGCCAAGGCUCCUUUGCCAAGGCCACCGCCACCUUAUCUUCAUAGGCUUGUGAAGUAGAAAAAUAAGAAUUAGUUUAAGAAGUUUAUUGACCUGAUGAAUAGCUUAUCCAUUAAUGUGCCUUUGGUGGAGGUUCUAAAACAAAUGCCGGGCUAUGCUAAAUUCAUGUAGGACUUGGUGAAAAAUAAAAGAUCCAUGGAUUUGAAAACUAUCAAGAUGACCUACCAAGUUAGUGCAAUAGUGCAGUCAAUGGCUCUGAAGCUAGAAGAUCCCGGUGCUUUCCCCAUUCCUUGCGCCAUUAGGAGCACGGACUUUGCUAAGGCUCUAUGUGAUUUGGGGGCAAGUAUCAACUUGAUGUCCUACUCAGUUUUCAUGACUUUGGGUAUUGUGAAACCAAGGCUGACUUCCAUGAGAUUGCAGAUGGUGAAAAGAAAUAUGAAGAGACCAUUGGGUAUUAUUGAUGUUGUUCUUGUCCGGGUGGAAACAUUUAUCUUGCCAGCUGAUUAUGUGAUCUUGGAUUGUACGGUAAACUAUGAGGUUCAAAUAAUAUUAGGAAGACCUUUAUUGUUACUGGGAAGGCCUUAGUUGAUGUGGAAGCAGGGGAACUCACCUUCUGCGAGGGUGAUAAGAAAGCGGUCUUUCAUGUGUGCAAGUCAAUGAAGCAGCCCAACAGUUCUAAAGUGUGCACUUUUGUGGACCUUGUCAUAGAAGUGAUAGUUGAUGAUACUAGUGGAAUGAUCAAUGUGGAGGACCCUCUAGGGGAAAUAUUGUUGAAUAUUUAUAUAAAUGAGGAUGAAAGGUGAGUGGAAUGUCAAAGAUCGGGUGGAAUUUUGAAGAAAGAUGAGAUUUUUCUUAAUACAAUUCUUGAAUUUGAUAUUUUUGAUGUAUGGGGCAUUGAUUUUAUGGGCCCAUUUCUUAGCUCGUGUUGGAACACAAACAUUCUUGUGACGGUUGACUAUGUUUCAAAGUAGGUUGAAGCCGUGGAUUUACCCAACAAUGAGGCCCAGAGUGUUGUUGUAUUUCUCAAGAAGAGAAUUUUUACUAAGGUUUGCACUCCGCGUGCAAUCCUAAGUGAUGGGGGGGGGGUAUCAUUUUUGUAAUAGAGAUUUUGACACUAUGCUUGCAUAGUAUGGUUUCAAUCACAAAGUUUAUACUCUUUAUCAUCCUCAGGCAAAUGGCCAUGUUGAAAUCUGAAAUAAGGAAAUAAAGAGUAUAUUGUCAUAUACGGUCAAUGCAAAUAGGAAAAAUUUGUCGAAGAAGUUGGAUGAUGCUCUAUGGGCUUAUAGGAAAGCUUACAAGUCUCUGAUUGGUAUGCUUCUGCACUGGUUGGUGCUUGGGAAAGCAUGCCAUCUACCGGUUUAGUUACAACACAAGGCCAUGUGGGCUUUAAGGAUGUUGAAUCUUGAACAAGAUGUGGUAGCGAAUCUUUGUGUGGAGCAGAUUAUGAACUUGAUGAAUUUUGAUUCCAUGCCUACUAUUGUACGUCCAUGUACAAGGACAUAAUAAAGUACCUUCAGGAUAAAUAUGCUCGUGGCAAGGAAUUCAAAAUGGGUGAUUUGGUUCUCUUGUUUAGUCCUUGGUUAUGUCUGUUUUCAGGAAAGUUCAAAUCAAAAUGUAGUGGACCUUUUUAAGUGGUAUUUGUUACUCUGUUUGGUGCAUUUGGCUUGAAGAACAAAAAUGAGGAGGUUUUUAGAGUUAAUGGGCACAGGGCCAAGCACCACCUGGAAAAAAUUGAUGAUAGCCACGUGGUGACACUGCUCCAUUUAAAGUGAUUUGAUGGUAACUUGCAUUGUGCCACGACGUUAAGUCAAGCACUUCUUGGGAGGCAAUCCAUAUAUCUUUCUUUUUGUUUUUCUUUGAUUUUCUUUUUAGUGUAGGAUUUGAUUUUGGACUAACGAUUUGUGAGAUAUGCGUAGGAUUGUUUCGAUGUAGUGCAAGACCGAGUUGGGAAAAAUUUGCACUCAUUGAAGUUUGCAUUGCGACCGUAGUGCAUUUCUUGCGGAUGCAAAGGACUUAUUGGGUUCCAACAUUUCAAUGCGGUCCACCAAGCUAAAUUUGUCAAGCAUAGGGUUCUCUAAAGUUUGCGGUUGCGGCUGCAAUGCAUUUUGUGCGGUCGCUGGUGGACCACUACGGCCGCAUUGCAUUUCUUGCGGUCUGUAGUGGAUGUCUCCCAAGUGCUCCAUGGUUCUGAAUACAACAGACCGCGAUGCCAUUUUCUGCUGUCCGCAAUGGGAAGGUAUACUGGGUCCCAGGAUCCUUUUCAAUAAAUAGGACCUCAGGGCUUCAUUUACCCUUUUCAUUCUUUGCUCACUCAAUAGUGAAAAUCAUUGUUUAUACUAGCCCUGAGCGUAAAUUUCACACAUUGUCUCUCAAUUAUCUUUGUGUAUCUCAUAUCUAUUACUUCAAAUUCUUUAUAGUCUUUACUUCUAUUUUAUUUUAAUUUGUUAGUUUCUAUUUUUUUGUCUUCCCGUUUUUCAUUCAAUGUGUAGGUUAGUUUACAUAAUGCAUUUAGAUUAGGAUCAAUUAGUUAAAUACAAUGAUUAACUACAUAGUGGGUUCACAAUAUGUGCAUUUAGGCUUAAAAUUUGAAAAAUCUAAAACUCUAGAUUGGUGUUGCUGAAAGAGGUUCACCGCGGUCCGUGGUGGACUUUUUGCUGUCUACGGUGCCUCUCUGCUGUCCACGAUGGCAUUUCGUGUUGAUCGUGAUGGUACAACUUCAGAUAAUGAAAAUUUGAGGAUCGCGGCUGCAGUGGAUUUUAUGCGGUCCGCGGUGCCUAGAAUAAGAGAGUGGGUAGCUUGGUCCCCAACUAAAUGCAAACUGCCGUGCAUUUUGUGCAGUCCGUAGUGGCCUCUUUGCGGCCACACUUAUUUUGUACGGUCUUCAGUUUGCAGUUCUGCUUUACAUUUCAACUGUCUGCAAUCAUAUUCUUUAUUACUUCAUCUGGUACUAGGAUUCUAACAGUAACAGAAUGAAUUCUCCUUGAAGAUAAAUGUGAAAUCAUGUGGCAUAGGUGAUAACUAAAACGGCAAAGGAGAGUCCUCCUGGGGUAGGUGACAAGGCAUGAUCAGAUUUACCCUGCAAGUCCAAUAAGCAUUUACAGAUACUAGGAAGUCCAUAAGGGCUGCUGACAGAGCUGAUUCCCAUUCAGGAAGUGAGUGUGAGCCCUCCCGGGAGGCAUCCGACUCUGUUUCCGUGCAUGUGUAUGUUCCUGACUGGCCGAAGAGGCACAAACUGAGGGAUACACCUCCAGACUCUCCUACUACUCAAGCUUCAGUUGCUAUUUCUUCUAAGUCAUAUGAGGGCUCAGUGGAGAGCGGUGACAAUGCCUCUUCUACCUCACAUACAACUUCAACACCCGGUGAGGAUAUCGUAGAAGAAGAGUGAGGGGGUGAGCCUCAAGUAGGAAGGGUGACUAGAACCAAAAAACCAGAAGCAUGGGAAGAUAGAUUUGUCAGUGAAGUGGCAUGCUAUAAGUUUUGAGAAUAGUAGCCUGAGAGGAACUUUAUACCAGAGAUGAAGUUUAUUACAAAGGACCUUUUGCCUCACAACCCUAAUGUGCUGAGGAAGUUAAGAAAGAGAGAGAGAGAGAGCAUGCUGGGACUAUUUCAUAGGCCACAUUGAAGAUUCCAAUGAGCACUUAGUCAAGGAGAUCUACACUAAUGUUGCCCACAUAAAAAAGGGCACUACAAUGACUAAGGUGCAGAACUUGACAGUAAGGUUUGAUAGGAAGAAAAUCAAUGACUACCUGGGCUUUUCGGAGGAGGAUGAAACAUUGUACUUGGAAAAGGUAGCAUUGGGUGAGGAUGCGUGUCCGUGGUUAGAAGAGUUAUCGUUUCCUCUUUUGUUCCAUUCCUCGGAAAGGAGUCUAUGUUUCAAUAUUCAUGGGGUGUAAUGACUCAUUUCCUUUUGGGAAUUGGGGUUUUGCAUUUUUUUGAAGAGUCGCCACCUAACAAUUGUUUAAGGUGCAGUCUGGGGGUUUGUUUUUCGACUUGAUAUGUGGGGAAUGUUAUGGUGCAUAAUGGAGCAUAAUCGUCACUUGUAGCGGAAGUCAAGGAAAAGCAGUUUAUGAUCCGGCAUUGGCACAGAUGGAUUUCGUGGUAGGGUUACCUUGCACUCAGUGCAAGUUUGACUCAAUUUGGGUAAUAUUUGAUCGACUCAUGAAAUCAGCUCACUUCUUGCCAGUCAAGUCCACCGAUACUGCGGAACAUUAUGCCUAGCUGUAUAUCAAGGAGAUAAUAAGGCUCAAUGGCGCUCCACUCUCUAUUAUCUCAGAUCGAGGGUCCCAAUUCAAAGCUAAUUUUUGGAAGAAGUUUCAACAAGGUUUGGGUACCCAGGUGAAUCUCAGCAUCGUUUUCCCUCCAUAAACUGAUGGUCAAGCGGAGCGGACUAUUCAAACACUUGAAGAUAUGUUGCGGGCUUGUGUCUUGGAUUUCAAAGGUAAUUGGGAUGAAUACUUCCACUCAUAGAAUUUUCUUACAGUAACAGCUUUCACACUAGUAUCGGAUAGCCCCAUUUAAGGCAUCGUACGGAAGGAGGUGUAAGUCUCCGAUUUGAUGGUUUGAAGUGGGUGAGGAAAAACUGAUAAGGCCAGAUCUCGUGCACCAGGCUAUGGAAAAAGUUAAAUUCAUUUAGGAGAGGAUGAAUACUGGUCAGAGCCGCCAAAAAAUCCUAUGCGUAUGUGCGUCAAAGUGAAUUGGAGUUCCAAGUAGAUGAUUGGGUGUUCUUGAGGGUAUCUCCUAUGAAGGGAAUCAUGCGGUUUGGGAAGAAAGGAAAGUUGAGUCCUAGAUAUGUCGGUCCGUAUCGGGUCGCUCAGAGGAUACGACAGGUGGUUUGUAGGUUUGAAUUGCCUCCUGAAAUGUCAUUAGUGCUCCCGAUGUUCCACGUGUCUAUGUUAAAGAAAGAGGUUGGAGAUCCAUCCACCAUCGUGCCAAUCGAGACCAUCGAGGUUAAUGAAGGGUUAUCGUGUGAAGAUGUCCUGAUUGCCAUUAUUGAUAGGCAAGUACAUAAAUUGAGAAAUAAAUAAACUGCUUCGGUCAAAGUAUUAUGGCGAAGUCAACGAGUCGAAGAAGCCACGUGGGAAGCGGAAAGUGAGAUGAAAGAAAAGUAUUCCCAUCUGUUUGAACAAGUUUAGCAGAAAUCGUGCGAACUCCUAUCUCUAAGAAAACUAAUGUUGUGUUCAAAUUAGUAUAAAGACAACCCAUUUUUCCCUUAAAUUCUUUACUAUUGUAACCCACCCAAGUUGUGCACAAAUUGUACAUGUUGCGGUUAUUUGAGUUUUGUGCAAACCCUUAUAGUGAUUGAAAAUUUUCAUUACUCAUGUAACAAGUGAGCGAUUAAUGGUAGUGUAUAUGGGUGAUGAUUAAUUGAGAUGCAUGUAGUAUCUUGAAGUGAUUAGAUGUGUGCAAGAGUUGAGGUAAUGAAUUGUAUUCGUAUUAUAGGGACAAUACGAAAUGUAUAUUGGUGCUUGAACUAGGUUUUGGAGGCUCUCUGACAUGUAGAUAAGUCUAAUUACAAAGACAACUCUAGCAAAAUUUUCUCAAAAUAUGGAAAGAAACUCUUGCCAAAAUCCUUAUUCGAGGACGAAUGAUUUUGAGUGGGGGAGGUUGUAGGACACCGUGAAAACUUGUUCUCAAAAUCUAGUAACUUUUAAUGCCAAGUUUCGAAUGUGUGUUAGGAAUGUGUAAAAUUGUACUGUGAUAGCUUUUAAAAAUCAAGAAUCGAAUAGAAAAAUGCUAUUCUAUGGUGCAGAAUGCGGUCGCAGAUCAAGUAUGCGGACUGCAUUUCUGCCGCAGACUAAUAGAGUAGCCUGGGUAAAUUGUGGUAAAAUGCGAUCCAUUAUGCGACCGCAUAACUUAUGUGCUGACCGCAUAGUCGUCGCAUAAUUUUGUAAGGAUAUAGUGAAGGGCGGUUCUGCGGUGCAUUAUGCGACCAUAGAACAUGAAUGUGGAUUGUAUUCCUGUUACAGAUCCAAACAGUAUGCCCAGCUUUUGAGAACACUUUUGUGGUCUACUUUGUGGACCGCAUUUCCAGUCUACGAUCACAAAGUGCGACUGCUGAUUCGACUCAGACUCUAAUUUUUCCUAAAUUGAUGUAAUUGAAACAAUUGUAGUAAUAUAAUGUGUGGCUUGUCGUGGGAAAUUCUCGUUGUGACUUGAUUUGUAUCUGGGUUGUUGUACAUGAUGGAAAUGGUAUUGAUGUUUAUGAAACUCUUUGUCAGUGUUAUUGUUAUUGUGUGAAAUGUGAUUGCCCGGUGGGAUGGGGUUGUGCGUCGCUACACGAAGUUAUAAGUUGUGGGUCGCGGUGAUAAGGGUGGCUGAGGUAAUCACAAUGGUCAAGGUAAUAAGGGUGGAAAAGUGAUCGAAAUCACUAUCUAAAUGCAAAUGUGCAACAUUUAUGAAAAUCAUUGGUAUGGUGGAAUAUUUUUUAAAGGGGAAACGGAGAUAUUUGCACGAUCCACUAUUGCCUCGUUAAAAACGUUGCCAAAAAACCCAAUUGGGACAAAAAUGGUUCAAGGGAAAAAGAGCGCAACGCGUGCUUUUAGACCUAAAGACAUCGUGUCACUCCUUGUCGAUAGCCUGCAAGUGAUAAAAAAAAUAAAAAAAAGAAAUGGGGUCGUACCUCAGCAGUAAUAUCGUUUAAGAUAAGUUACAUUUCAAUUGUUCGGUAGUUGUUCUUCGUCCAUUGUUCCGAGCUUAUAGGACAUAUUCCCUAUGAUCUCAAGAAUCUAGUACGACCCUUCCCAGUUCGGACCUAAUAUUCCUUCAAUUGGAUUUUCAGUGAUUAAUGUGACCUUUCUCAGUACUAAGUCCCCAACAGUAAACUAUCGAUGGCCCUUCGAUUGUAAUAGCUCCAGGCUUAUAUUCAUGGCCUUUUGAUAUGUUGAUUCUGAGUAGCCAAUCAAACAAAGGUAGCUUCAUAUCGUUUACCAAAUAGCUCCGGGCAUAUUUUCAUGGCCUCGUCAUUCGGUUCCUUCAUUGCAUACUUGAAUAUGAUGUUGGGCUCCCCGACUUGGACCGAUAUUAAAGCGUCGGUGCCUAAACCAAUGACAAUGGGAUGGCCCCGACAGUAGACAUCAAAGUUGUGCGAAAAGACCAAAGAACUUCGGGCAGGAACUCUCUCCAUUUCACCUUUGGCAUCAGUCAACCUUUUCUUGAGGUUUUCGAUUAUGGUUUUGUUGGUCGAUUCAGCUUGUCCAUUCUCAUUAGGGUGAAAAGGUAUUGAUAAGAUCCUUUUGAUCUUUGGUUCUUUGAGAAAUUUGGUUACUUUGCUAUAGAGAAACUAUUUUGCAUUAUCGCAUACAAUUUCAUAUGGUAUUCCGAAUCAACAUAUGAGUUGUCCCGCAUGAAGUCGAUGACUUCCUUCUCCCCAAUCUUCUCGUAUGCACGUGCUUCAACCUAUUUAGAGAAAUAGUCAGUCAUAAAUAAAACAAAAUGAGCCUUACAUGGCCCCAUUGGAAGAGGGAUGCUGAUGUCCAUCCCCUGCUUCAUGAAAGGCCAUGGUGAUAAAAAUGAAUACAGCAGCUCCCUGGGUUGAUGAAUCAUCGGAGCAUGUAUGACAUUUAUCACAUUUUUGCACAAAUGGUUUUGCAGAUUUUUCCAUAUUGAUGCAGUAAUAGAUGGCUCUGAUUUCCUUUCAAACUAGUGAUUCGGCGCCUAAGUGGUUCCCGCAUUUGCCUUCAUGGACUUCCCUCAAAACGUACUCGGUAUCUCCUUGUCACAAGCAUAUAGCUAGCGGACCACAGAACGUUCUCCUGAGUAAGGUUCCGUCUUCAGACAGGCUAAAUCGAGAUGCCUUUGUGUGCAAGGUCCUAGAUUAUUAUGGGUCUGAGGGAAUUUUUUUGGUCUUCAUAUGUUCUAUGUAUUUAUUUGUACAAUCUUAAAUCAAGUUUUUGGAGUUUAUUUCGAUGUGAUCUUCUUCUACUACCGACGUUAUAAGUUGUAUAACCACCCCCCUAGUUGAGCUCGUUGCCUUUGACCGGUGACCCUAAGUUUUUGAGGGCAUCAUCUUUACUAUUUUGAUCGCGGGGCUCGUGCUACAAAGUCCAUUCUUUGAAACGAUGCAACGUUACAUGUAGCUUGUCCAUGUACCUUUGAAUUUGUUCAUCCCUGACCUCGAAUGUUCCAUUACUUGGUUUCCCCUAGACGACUAUAGUACGAUCCCAAGUCCCUACCCCUUUACAUUCUAGGCACCAUUCAUAAAAAGGGUCCAGAUUCCUAUAGAUGUUCCCGAGUUUACAAACAACUCUCUUUCGACUUCGGGUAUUAGGUCGGUUUAAUGUCGUCUACGAGGUCUGCUAAUAUUUUGGAUUUAAUGGCCACUCGGGGCUGAUAUUAGAUAUUGUACAUGCUGAUUUCAAUGGCCCAUUUGUCCAUCAUCCCGAGAGAUCGGAUUUAUACAUUAUCUUUCGUAAAGGGUAGAUUGUCAUAAUGCAUGUGUUGAUACUCAAUUUUCCCUAUAUAUAUAUAUUUUAAUGUGCAACACACUUUCAAAAUAACAUACAUAUGUAUAUUAAUAUAUAUCCAAGUGUUUCAUUAUUUUUCCUCAAUUUUUAUAGGGUUAUAAAUCAAUUUAUUCCCCUAUUUUAACCGUAGAAAAACUAAUAAUAAUUUCUAAAAUUAUUAUUUUUGGUGAUUCACUUGUUGAACUUUUAUAUUUAUGAAAAUUAUUUUGUAUUUUAAAGGCUAAAUUGCAUAAUUGCAACAUUAGCUUCUUUUAGGAUUUGAUUGUGGUUACGUUCAUAAUGAUGAAGUCUAGUAUUUUUGAAUGGUUAAUUAUAUGUUAUAAAUCAUAUUAGUGCUUUCAAUUUAUUUUUAUAAAUCAAUUUGCUAUUUUUCAUAAAAUAAAUAAGGAAACGGAUAUAUGGAAUCUAGGCAGAUUUAAUUUCAAUUAUAGCCUAAAAUUGACCCCAAUUUGAACCCAUUUCCCCCUAGGCCAAAACCUUUUAAAUCAUACCCCUUACCCGUUUAAAUAACCUAACCCGGUCUCCCACCUAACCCUUUCAAUCCUAGCCGUUAAUCAUUUUGAUCAACGGGUUCCAUUCCCCUUUACCAUUUUUAACCCAAAACGACCCAAAAACCCUAUCAUUUCUCACCCAUCGCUACACUUGAAUCCCCUUUUCUCUCAACUCUCUCUAAGACACCUACAAACCCUAGCCGCCGCUAUCAAACUACACCCCAAUCCAUGGCUUCAAAGGUCAUAUGAGAUCGGUACCAGCCUUUCCAUGGCUUCUAUAUGUUUGGUUUAUGGUUUCACGACUAGACUUCAAAGGAUUUUGAUCCAAUCCUUGCUCGACUUGUCUUCAUGGCCUUUCUCCAGCCAGCCACGACCUUUUCCAGCCAUUUAUGGCCUUUGAGGCGAGUCCUUGACCUUUUCUGUUUAGAUUGUUACAUUUCGAGACCCUUCUUGUCUCUUUUGGGUUUUCUGAAACCCUAAUCUCUAGGAUCUUUCUACUUCUUUUUAGAGAUUUGCUUUAGAUCUGUACUCGCUAACAUUCUCAUGUGUUUCUCAAAGGUUCAUUAACUUGCUUUCAAAACGACUCUUCGUUUUAUCCAAUUAGGGUUUUCCUUUAAGUUAUUUCAAGAAAUAUCUUCUUUAACUUUAACGUGUUUCUGAUUUUUGCUAGGUUUUGUUCAUGUUGUUCUUCUAUCUGAGUUAUAUGUUGAAACCCUAGUUUCUUUUCGGUCUCAUUCGAGUUUUGAAGUUGUUGUUUAAAUGUAUACUUCUUUAACUAAGUUUCUCGUUCUUGUUUGACUUAUUUGUGUUAUCAUUCUUUAAAACUUGAUUUUUGUUGAAACCCUAUGGUUUUGGGUCUGAAAUUGUUUGUUUAAGUACUUGACUCGACUAAAAGCUUUUGUUAUAGACUUUCUUUUCUCUAUGUCAUUUAUCUUAUUUUUUUACUAUCUCUCAACUCGACUAGAGUUGAAACCCUAACUUUUUAAAAGGGUUUCCCUACAUGGUACUAUGAAACAUUUGCAUGUUUUUAAUGCUCUAUUUUCUUCCCUGUUGAUUCAAUGUAAUUCGACCUACUUGAUUAACAUUCUUCAAAUGUUUUCUUUCCUACUAAACCUUAGCUUAUUUUUGCCACUACUCCAUGUUUGUGAUUUUCUCUUUUAUCAAUACAUCUCGCCUCGCAUGUUUGAUGGCCAUGUUAACUUUAUUUAUAUGUUGAAGCCUCUUCUUUGAUUGAUCUUGGUCUUGUGACUAAUUUCUAACGUCCCCUCUUUUAUGAACCCUGAUUUCACUCGCCCGUUCAAAUUGAUGGAUUCUUUUCUCAUUAUUGUGAUAUUUACCUUGCUGGAUCUAUUUCCAAAAUAAGCAUAUUUCUAUACUUAAACUGGAUGCUUACUUAAUGUUUUUACUACCCCUUUUAUGGAAAUAAUCAAUUUGUCUUUAAAUUGAUCUUUUUCCUUAUUUGAAUAUGUUACAACCCGUUAAACAAUGAUUCUUUAAUUAAAGGGAGUCACUUGGGUAAUUGAUUCUGACUGUAGAUUGUUUCUAUAUUUGUAUUAAAAUUUACUUAUUUCCUUCCUUCACUCAUUUUCAAAAGCUAUAUAUACCCUCCACCCCUCUUUUUUCAAACACACGAACAACAAGGAACGAAACACUUGAGUUCAGAACAUACACUGCACUCAAAACUCUCUCUCUCUUUUCUCUGUUACUACUUAUGUUGCUGCCUUACCUAGUCAGCUGAAAGCCAAGGCUAGGCUGCAGAAAAUCUAUUUACUUUUCUUUCUACAUUUGCUUCUUUACUGGUAUGUUCUAAUUAAUUUUCCAGCAUCAACAACAACAUGUUUCUUUACUAUUUCCUUCACUCUUACCUGUUUCUGCUUGUGUUUAAUCAAGUUCCAUUACUGAGCAUGCUAUAAUCUGCCCGUUUCUCUUCUAAAUUAAUGUUCUAUCAUGAACUCUGUCAGCCAUUUAUUAUUACUUAUGAAUCCCAAACCUCCAUAUUCCCUAGCUGUUUGUACUCCUUGGUUGGUUUGGGGCAUGCCAAUAUUAGACAUUGUUGUGCAUGACCCAAACCUGGCCUUACGUUGGGUCAUAACCUUCAUUUCCCCUCUAUGUGCUUUUUUCUCGGGCUGAUUUAGGGGCAUGCCAACACAAUCUUUUACUAUACAUGCCCAAACCUGACCCCUUCCUACGGUCAUAUUCCCCACGUAAGGAAUUCCCUAGCCUAUGAUUCUUUGUAUAAAAUGCUGAUUCUGUGUAGUGUUAGCUUUAUUACUAAUAUUCUCCAAUCACCCUCGUCCCUCUCUAUUCUCCACUUAGUUUCAAAUCUAUGUUCCUGCACUUCAACUAUGCUUAUAGAGUUAGGUUCUGCCCUUCUUGUGUGAGCCUUACCUUGGUACCCAUGAGCUCCCUCUAAGCUUGAAUGCAUAAGGGCUGGCCCUUCCACAAUGCACUUAUCUCUAUAUGGUUAUGCAAACUUGAGUGUAAGCAUUUCCCACGGUCCUUUGAGAUCCUUAGGGAACUUUGACACACCUAGAUUUGAGAAAGGCUUUGAAACAAGUGGCAUUGGAGGAUUUUUGUUCCAUAACUCAAAGAUGAAGUCAUAAUCAGGUUUCAUCUGGUUGUAACUUCUUCUUUUACAUAUUUUUGAUGUAAUUCAACAAUUGGUUUGUAAUAAUUUAUAAACAGAUAUUGGGGUUGGUUAGUGAGAAAAGGGCUAGGUAAUUGUGCCUCCUUAACUAUUAGAAUGGUAGAGAACAUGUCUGUAGGAUCUAUUUUCUGUAGGAUUAAUUCAGCAUUUAUAUAAUAUGCCUAUAGGACUUAUUAGUCUACAUGUUUAACUUUGCAUUUAGAGAACCUCUUUGUAGGAAUUUUUUUAAAGUUCCCAUUUAGAUAACAUGCCUAUAGGAUUUGCCUUAAAUUCUACAUGUUUAUUCCAACACUUAGACACUAUGUUCUUAGGAUCCAAUUGAUUAUAAACCGGCAUCAUGUCCAAAAGUCUAAAAUCAGUACCUUUUCAUAGAAAUCAUGCCUAUAGGAAUUUCGAGUAAAUCCUGCCUGCUUCAUUCCACGCUCAUUUAGAUAUCAUGUCUAUAGGAAUGUAAAUCAGUAAUACUAGAUAUCAUGUCUAUAGGAAUUAAAAUCUUCAAUAAUAGAUAUCAUCGUAUAUAAAAUAAGAAACCAUUCUAGUCUAAAAUCAAUUAAACUCUCACUGUCCUGAAAUAGUUUUUAAAACAACCUACUCUAUUCUUAUUAACACGUUUUAGAAAGCAUGCCUAUAGAAUCUCAAAUUGCUCAUUUUAAAAUUAUAACUGCUUUGCCACAUUCUGAAUCUGUAAUAGAUAGCAUGUUUAUAAGAUCUCACCCAAACACUUAGGUAAGCCUUAGGUGACAACCAAUAAAACUCAACCCGCCUCUAUUAAUUAGUAAUUGCAACAACCAAUUGGCAGGCCUGAUUCUGACUUCUUAUCUGAUUUAUGUAGUAAAUUGGUCUUCUUCAACAAUUAAAACUCCCUUGCCUUAGUAUUUAGAUUCAAACUUUUAUUGGGCUUAAGUCAUGCAAUUUAUUUGCUUUGCUUUAGGAGUUAUAUAUGAGCCUUUAGUUGUUUACAUAUUUUCCGUUAAUGUGCAGUCCUAUGUGUUUUUGUAUGUUGCCUUAGAUUUUUUACCAUUUGAAAUCUGAAAUAAGCCUAAUACCCCUUUUAUUUGGGAAUAGUAGUCCUAAGUUCCUCCGGGACUGAUAGGAAUGGGAUGGAUAAUUCCAUGCAAUAAUGGUAGACACCAAUCCGCGCAUUAAUACCUCAAUGGGAUGGGAAGGGUAGAUAUGGAUAUGAUGACUGGUGCACUAAUACCAUGUGUAGCCUCUCUUUAGAGGAGUGAUUACAUGUUAUUUCAUUGAUGUGAUUCAUACUAUAAAUAAACCUAGGACCUCAUUUAUAUUCAUUAGCAUGCUUAGUUGUAACUCUUUCAAACUUUGUUCUAUUUUUUUUAUUACCUCCAAACACUUGUGUAUCAAAACCCCUCUUAUUUGAGUCUUAUUUAUUUACUUGUUAAUUGCACAAAUUCACAAAGAACUAUCUGGCUGGGAACCAGACUAGUGGAUCUUGGGGGGUGCCUAACAUCUUCCCCUUAGGAUAAUUUCAAGUCCUUACCCUAUCUCUGGUUAUCAAACAAACUUAGAAGUGAAACAUAUAGGUGUUAUAAUGCACCUUAAACCAUUGGAUGGCGACUCUUCAAAUGCAAAACCCAGUUCCCAAAAGGAACGAGUUGUCAUAUGACCAAAAUGUCAUAAACAUGAUUUUUCGAUGCAAAGAGGGAAAGAAGGGGGUGCGACAACAUUGUGACUCUACUGGGUAUAUUAGGCUCUUACCACUUCAGACCGUUCUUAUGAAUUUUUACCUUCCCUUUAUAUGCAAUUAUUUGUUUAAAUUCCUUUAAGUGUUUAAUUUCUUUUUAAAGGCAAAACCGAGUUAUCUUAUUCGUUUCCUUCCUUUAUUGUUGGUUUAAAUUAUGAAAUUGUUGUAUUUACUACUUUCUUAACAUGCAAGUACAUGCCAAUGCUUUUAAUUAUUGCAUAAUCACGCUCAACAUCAUACUCCACUCGUGCCAAACAAAUACCAUAGCAACUCUUAUAAUGAGUGCUUGCGCUUUUCCUAUAUUAUUCCCUCCCUAAAUUCGGAAUGGCAUAUUUGUGCUAAAACUUGUCGAUUAGCGAUGCAGUCGACGCUCCCAUGCCUUCCCAUUUGAGUUGUCCGCUUAAUGGUACCAGUCUUAAACCCUAAAGAAACCUUACUAUGUUCAAACUGUCCAUGCAUCAUCUCAAAUAUAUCCGAGUCAGUUAUGUUGUCCACAUAAUUAUUCUUUAAGAUAGCCUUCUCCAAAGUCCACUAGGUUUCCCUAAACUUAAACAGACAUCACCACGUUAGCCUUGUCCAUAGAACUAAAUGCUUCAUGCUAAUUAUUGGUAUUAAAGAGUCGAGUCUAGUGGAGGUAAGGGCCUAACGUUAUUUGUCCUGCAGAAAUAUGAGGCACGAAGUCCCUAGAUUUGGCGUGGUCACAAAAAUCCACCCAAGACUGCUAAGCUGGUGGAAAGGUCUUUACUUUAGUGAUCAAUACUCGUCCGAAUAUAUCGGGAAAUCAACAACUCCUUUUGGAGAUCCAACCUAAUAAGAAGAUCAUAGAAGCUACCACACUAAUUUGGGAUUGUGAAAGGGUUGUAUUCCUCUUAGGGGACAUAGAAAUGACAACCCGUACUAGAGGAGAUAGGAGGAUUGACCGAUCUAUUCUGGGAAACUCUGGGUUAUUUGAUGCCUGAGAAAAGUAAACGUAGGGAUUUUCUCAAAAUUUAUAGGUUUAAAGAAGAAUCCCGAGUUGACAAUUCUGAAAGAAUCCUACAUCCAUUUUGACUAUUUGUAUGAAAGGUACGAUUGCGGCAAAUCCUACCCUACCUAAUCAGACGAGUUUCCCAUCAUAUCCUUGGGGCAAAUUUAUCGAAGGGUCUUCGUAUUUAUGUUUUGUUUCCUAGGGCUGAUCUUGUUUACAAUGAAGAAAGCAAAGAUCCAUACCAGGUUGGCUAUAGUAAUAAGACACUAAUCGAAGGGAUAGGUGGGCAGCCAUUUGGAAUUGUGCACAUGAUCAUUAUGAAUAUAUACCGAGCCUUAGAGAAGUCUCAACAAGUAGUGAAACACUUCGAAGGAUGCAUUUUAUUACUUCAACUCUAGCUCCUGGAGCAUCUCCAAUAAGAUGAAUACCGACAAGCGAUUAAGCGAAGGGACAUAGAUUAUCCCAUCCUUUCCAUCAUUCGAAGCGAACGAAUUACGUUCCUGAUAUGUUCGCUCAACCAGAGGUAGCCAAAGGAUGGGUUGAGAUGUUUGAUAACCUAACCGAAGAGCAGGUUCAAUAGGUGUUCGAGUGGUUUUCGACUGAGGAGUUCAUCGCCCAAUCCAGAGAUACACAUUUUCUGAUACUAAUCGGUCUGAGAGGAACAUAUCCCGUCCCUCUCCGAGUUAUGAUACAAGCUGGUAGGACGCAAGUUAUACCCAUGGUCGACAAGACAUGUCAUUUCCAAGCCGACUUAUCGGAUGAUGAUAAUCCUUACAAAUGCCAAGCUUAGCAUAUAUGGCAUUGCAAGAUCAUUAUGGGGAGACAUACCAUCUAGCCAAAUAGGUAUCAUACUGGUUGCGCUCGUUUAUACUUAGGUUGGUUGGAAGGCAAUCAUGAUGGUAUGGGCCAGCUAGGAAUUGCCCGAGGUCACAAAAUUAUAUAAAAGGGCCGAGGCACACGUCAAAUACAACCAGUUGAAGGAUCCGCUAGUGCGAAUGCAAGAACCGCAAAAUACAAGAGUCCAACUAGAAGCUAAUUGAAGAAUAGAGGACAUGGCUGUUAGUGCCAACAAGCGACUGGGAUACUUAGAGCGGGACAUUGUUGAGUUGGAAAGAAAGUUUCUCAAGAGGGUCGAAGACUUCGAAAAUGCUGAAGGAAUCGAAGGAGGCUAUCUACCUAGGGCCUACCUAAUGCUGGGGCUUUGUGAGUUGGGAAAGCUGUUCGACAGAGCCAAGGAUGCCGAAUCUUCUGAAGGUCCUUCUGGGUCCAAGUAUAUAUGAGUUUUUCUUUUCGCUUUAUAAAAUGUAAUAAGGCCAACGGCAAUUAGUGAUUUCAUUUCCUGUUUAUUUAGUGUCAAUUUGGGAUUCAUCUAUAUUUUAUCAAUAAAAUGAGGCAUUUAGCAUUCCAAGUUCUCCAAAUAAACUUGUCCCUAGGCCCACCUCGGCCACAACAAGGCUCCAAAAUUAAGAGACGCUUUACAUUCCUGCACUAUAUGUUUAGAUAUUGCAAUACUUUGUAAUUCUCGUUAAUUUGGUUACCUUUUUGUUUUAUUUUGUUUUGUUAUUCCCCUCCCCAAAGGUUAGUUCCUGCACUUUGGUAACAUCAUCUUAUUCAACGAUAUCCAAGGGCCCUCCACCCACUCCUUCUCUAAGUCAUGUUAAGAGCAAGAACAAAGACAAAAUGGAAGAUUUGAACAUUAAAAAAAGAGAACACAACAGCGGAGGCCAUUGAUGGCCACAGUAUUUGGGUUCCCAUAGAAAAUACAUCACAACUUGAGUAGAAAUUGUUGAAGUUUCAAGAAGAGCUUGAUCUGAUUCGAAAUUUGGCUAUCCUAUCCUUCUCCCUCAGCACCCCAAACACCAUCUUCCCCAACAUUCAAACUACCACACCCGCCACAAAAGCAACCAAACCAUCCCAUUGUUCAAACCAAGAACCAAUGCAACACUUGCCAUACUCCAAACAACAAUCCAUUACUCAUCCCCGAACCACAAAAUUAUACAAAUGACCAUCUCCACACCGACACACCCGGCCACCACAAUAGAUCCAUAUACGUAGAGAUGAAGCCACUCUCCACCCAACCUAUGUCUUGCACAUCCCGAUUUUAAUGAAAAAGAUCUACUCAUUAGAAACCUGGAUAAAGAGCUUAAGAAUUUAACAAGCCGAAUCCAAGGCGUGAAAGGAAGUAAAUAGAUCAAAAGUUUGAGCAAUGAAGAUCUCUGCAUACAACCAAAUGUCAUACUACCAGAGGGGUACGAACCUCCAAAGUUCGAGAUAUUUGAAGGUACAGGAGAACCAAGAGCCUAUCUAAGAACAUAUUGCGAUAAGCUGGUCGGGGUAGAAAAGGACGAAAGGAUCCAUAUGAAACUAUUCAUGAGGUUUCUGAAAGGAGAUACACUAUCUUGGUACAUCAGCCAAGAUCCAAAGAAAUGGCCGAGCUGGGUAGGUAUGUCAUAUGAUUUCAUGGACAGGUUCAUGUUUAACUCAGGAAAUGCGACAGAUGUAUUCUAUAUUCAGAAUAUGAAGAAAAAAACCUAUAGAAACGUUUCAUGAGUAUGCUACUCGCUGGAGGUCUGAAGCUGCUAAGGUCAAACGUACCUUAGAGGAGGAACAAAUGAACAAAUUAUUUGUCCGGACUGGGGACCCGGAAGUAUUAUGAAUAACUAAUGAUUAUUGAAAUCAUAAGUAUUCCGACAUAUUCAAGCUUGGGGAACGAAUUGAAUAAGGUAUGGUUACAAACUCCAAGGCCUUGCAAGCCACAAAUAAGGCCUUGAAGUCUAGUGGUGUUUCUAAAAAGAUGGAUGUAGGGACCAUGAUGGUUGAAUAAAGGACCAAGUCUCCUCUCAAAUCCCAAACCUACCCAAUACCUUCACUCACAUAUCAGCUAACCCCAAACUACCAAGUACCCUCCUACCAAGCUCCACCACCGGCUUAUCAAUCAUAUCCACAUCUCACAUAUAAGCCUACCUCGCCCAGAUAUUCCCAGACCGCACAUGUCUACCAAAAUUACAAUGCCCAACUAUAUCAUUACCGAUAACUCCCCGCACGCCAUAAUUUCCCUAAUCCCCAACCUAAUUUUGAUCGAAGGCCUAAAAAAUAAUGCAAAACUAUCGUCGAACCCAUUGAUCAGAUAUAUGAGAGUCUCAAAACCAUCGGUUAUGUCACCUCAUCCCUGCUACUAUCCUUGAGAACACUUAUAAGUGGGUUAACCCAAAUAAAUCUUCUGCAUACCACUCCGGUAUAAAGGGGGCACACCAUCGGUGAAUGCCGCUCCUUAAAAGACAAGAUACAGUCCCUGAUUGAUAACAAAGUCAUUGUAGCAAAGGAAGCCACCCGAACGUCGUACACAACCCCCUACUAUACAACAAAGGUGGGGUGUUCACAUGAUUGAAGUAGAGGAUUAUUGGGAUCCCGAAGGAUCCAUUGGGUUGAUCGCGUAAGGUGAUAAUCUAAAGACGCCAGUAGUUACUCUCAACCAUAUCAUAGUCCAGAUCAAACCAUCUGAGGCCACUGAGGUAGAUGUGUCUAUCCCUCUUGAGGUUGAAGCUGCGCCAUCAACAAAAGCACCAGCACCAUUUGAGCUUUCAGUUUUACCUAAAGAACAUGUCCCAUUCGAAGUAAGGAUAGCUGCACUGAUUCCAGUGGCAAUGACCACCAUGCUGUCAUUCCAUAUAAAAGCUAUGCUUUGGGAUUAUAUAGCCGAGGUUAGGAGGAAAGGAAAAGUCAGGUACGAAGAGACUGUUGCAGCGCAAGGUAUGACAAGAACUAGAAGAGUCUAUACCUCGAAACACUUAGCUGAGUCGAGCAAGCAAGCCUCCAACAUGCCACUUAUUAUUGAAAUAGGUCCAGAUGAACUUUGGAGGAAGAUACAGGCCAAGGAGUAUUCAUUCAUCUAUAAUCUAUACAAAACAUCAGCAUAGAAAUCCAUCAUCUCAUUGCUGCAGAAUUCCAAGACACACAAAAAUGCUCUAUUGAAUGUGUUGAGUGAAGCCUACGUGCCAAGUAAAAGACUGGGUACAGGAGCUGGGUAAACUACUGCACGAGAUAAAAGAGGGAGCUAGCAAUGUGAAAGAUUUUGACGGAUCUUAGAGGUCCACCAUCAGAGAGAUUAACCUGUGUCUGGAGAUGGGGCCUACCUAGUUCGAAGUCGACUUUCAUGUGAUAGAUGUGCCAGCAUCCUACAACCUGCUGCUAGGGUGACCCUUCAUGCAUGCUGGAGGAGUUGUAGCUUCAACACUACAUCAGGCAGUAAAAUUCGAAUGGAAUCACCAAGAAGUAAUCAUUCACGGCAACGGUAACAACCCUAUAUACAGUCACCAGAUCAUUCUGGCAAUUGGAGGAAAACGAAAGAUAGGUUGAGAGACCUACCACCACAUCGAGCGGGUCAAUGCUAUAAAUAAAGAUAAGUGGUGGGAUAACAAGAUCGAGAGUAUACUGAAUUGGAGUGGGUAGGAACCUGGCAAAGGAUUCGGGAAGAACCUCCAAGGGAUCUCUAAACCUAUAAAGCUCAAGAAAUAUGGCACCUCUUCUGGUUUAGGGUAUGAGUAUACCUGGGAGGCUUUCAAGAAAUUGUCGCCACCCUGCCGCGGUCCUUACUAGCCAUUGGAGUAGAAGAUACCGCACCUGGAGCAAACUUUCAAACAAUCUGACAUCAUCUAUGGAACAGACGAAGAAGAAGCACUAGUAGUAGUGACAAACUUAUUUUUAGAGGAAAAUGAUAUGGAUUGAUGUGUUAUUCUCGAGGAGGAGGGGAGGAAAGUCCUUCUAUACAAGUUGCGAGUAGAGAGGCAUAGCUCAACAAUUAGACGAUCAGGACUACGAGAGCCUGAAGAGCCUAGCAAGGCUAAAACAAGCAUUAUUACCUAUUUUAUUUACUAGAUGAUUUUCUUUUUGCAUUUUAAUUCCCACAAUAACAUCUUCAAUGUUCAAAACAACUAUGAAAUUUAUCAAAGCAUUUCGGCUUUUCUUAUGAAUCAAUACGCAUUAUUAUAUUUCUCAUUACUUGAUUUAUACAGCAUUAUCAUUACUUAUCUUGAUAAACCAUGACUAUGACAUACAAUGAGACAACACAACAAAUUGACAUUGAUUUAGACGAAGAUGACAUACCUGAGGAGAUCGUCAAAGAAGUUGAGAAAUUUAAGAACAGACCUAUAUCCAACCUAGACGAAAUAGAAACUGUUAAUUUAGGAGAUGAAGAAACCUCAAGAAAACACAAAUCAGCAUUCACUUUUCGCCAUCAGAAAAGAAGGAAUACAUAUAAUUUCUGAAAGAAUAUGAUGACAUAUUUUCCUGGUCGUAUGAUGACAUGACCGGUCUAAGUACAUCUAUUGUGGCCAGUAAACUGCCAACUGAUCCGACAUGUCUGUGGUAAAGCAGAUGCUCAAGAAGUUCAAGCCUGAUAUGAUUUUGAAAUCAAUGAAGAAGUCACAAAGUAAGUCAUAGCUAAGGUUCUCAGAGUGGUUGAGUACCCAACAUGGUUAGCCAAUGUUGUACUAGUAACAAAGAAGGAUGGGAAGGUAAAAGUCUGUAUCCACUACCGGGAUCUCAACGGGGCCAGUCUGAAGGAUGAACUUCCUUGGCCAAUAAUACAAAUCCUGAUCGACAAUUGAGCCAAUCAUGAGCUAAUGUUAUUCGUAGACUACUUUGCGAGUUAUCAUCAGAUCUGGAUGGAUGACGAAGAUGCUGAGAAAACCGUUUUCAUUACGCCAUGGGGAAUGUAUUGGUAAAAAAUGAUGUCAUUCGGCCAAAAGAAUGCAGGGGCCACCUACAUGAGGGCCAUGACUACUAUUUUUCACGAUAUGAUACACAAGGUAAUUGAGGUGCAUGUGGAUGAUGUUAUCAUCAUUUCCAAGAAAACCGGUGAUUACAUGGACAAUUUGAGGAAGUUUUCAACAGAUUGCGUAGGUACAACCUAAAACUAAAUCCCGCGAGUGCGCAUUUGGAGUACCUGCUAGAAACUUUGUAGGGUUUAUUAUGAGUCGCCGAGGAAUAGAACUAGAUCCAGCAAAGGUCAAAACAAUUCAAGAACUACAACCGCCAAAGAACAAGAAGGAUGUGAUGAGUUUCUUAGGAAGACUUAAUUAUCUUAGUUGGUUCAUAGCAUAGUCUAAAUGUAUCUAUGACCCAAUAUUUAAAAUGCUAAAGAAUGAUGCUGUUACAAAAUGGACCAUGGACCACCAAAAGGCUUUUGACAAAAUCAAAGAGUACCUAUCAACACCAACAGUCCUAGUUCCUCCCGAGCAAGGUAGCCCUUUGCUGCUCUACCUUGCAGUGUUAGAUGGAGCUUUCUACUGCAUUUUAAGGUAGAAAAAUGAGACGGGGAGAAAGGAACAAGCCAUUUAUUAUCUCAGCAAGAAGUUCACUCCGUAAGAGGCCCGAUAUUCUCUGUUAAAAUGCAAUUGAUGUGCUAUGACUUGGGUAGCUCAAAAGCUGAGACAUUACUUCUGUGUCUAUACUAUGUACCUCAUACUAGCAAGCUAGCCAAGUGGAAAAUCCUGUUAAACGAGUUCAACUUACUCUAUGUAACUUAGAAGGCAGUCAAAGGACACGCACUGGCAGACAACCUUUUUGAAAACCCCAUGGAUGGAGAGUAUGAACCUUUGAAAACAUAUUUUCCUGAUGAAGAUGUAUCAUUCAUAGGAGAAGACAUUGAGGAAUCCUAUGAUGUUUGGAGAAUGUUCUUUGAUGGAGCAACAAACUUCAAAGGAGUUGGCAUAGGAGCAUUCUUGGUAUCAGAAACCAGUCAGCAUUAUCCAGUGUUUUCCAAACUCAGGUUCCCCUACACCAACAAUAUAGCCGAUUACAAAAGACUGCAUUUUAGGGCUCAAGAUAGCCAUUGACAUGAACAUUCAAGAGUUAUAUUGAUUGAGGAUUCAGCCUACUCAUACAUUAGGUGCAUACAGAAUGGGAAACUAAGAACUCCAAGAUACUCUUAUAUUUGCAUCAUGUAUAGGAAUUAAGAAAGAGGUUCGCGAGGACGGAGUUCUAGCAUGUUCCUAGAGUUCAGAAUGAGUUCACCGAUGUAUUGGCUACCCUGUCAUCUAUGAUACAACAUCCAGACAAGAAUUUCAUUAAUCCCAUUUCAGCAAAUAUCUAUGAUUAACCGGCUUAUUGAGAAUAUGUUGAGGAAGAAGCGGACGGAAAGCCUUGGUUUCAUGAUAUGAAGUAAUAUUUUGAAAAAGUAGAAUACCCAGAGCUUGCAAACCCUACUAAGAAACACACACUUUGGAUACAGUCCAACAACUUCUUUCACAGUGGAGGAAUCCUGUAUAGGAGGACUUCUGAUAUAGGAUUAGCAAGGUGUGUCGACGCAAAGGAAACAUCCAAGCUACUUGAGGAUAUUCGUGGUGGGACUUGUGGUCCACAUACGAACGGAUUUGUUUUAGCAAAGAAGAUACUUCAGGCUAUUUUGGAUGACUAUGGAAAUAGGCUUCAUCAUGUAUGUUUGGAAAUGUCCUUGCUGUCAAAUACAUGCAAACAUGAUAAAGGUACCUCCAAGCAAGCUCAUUGUGGUCGUUUGCCGCUUGGGGAAUGGAUGUUGUUGGUUCAAUUGAGACUGCUACUUCUAAUGGACACAAGUUUAUCCUAGUGGCAACUGACUAUUUCACCAAGUGAGUUGAAGUAUCAUGUUACAGAGCAGUGACUAAGAAGGUCGUGGCAGACUUUGUUCGCGACCGCAUUGUUUGUCGAUUCGGUAUUCAAGAGUCAAUCAUUACGGAUAAUGGGUCCAAUCUCAGUUGCGACUUGAUGAAAGCCAUGUGUGAGACUUUCAAGAUCUGACACAAGAAUUCCACAGCGUAGAUGCCUCAAAUGAAUGGAACCGUAGAAGCAGCCAACAAGACUAUCAAGAAGAUAUUGAGGAAAAUAAUAGAGAAGAAUAAAUAGUGGCAUGAGAAGUUAUCAUUUGCUAUAUUAGGGUAUCGCACCACAGUCCGCACAUCAAUUGGGGCAACCCUCUAUAUGGUGGUUUAUGGUACAGAAGUUGUCAUUCCCGUCGAAGUAGAAAUUCCUUCGUUGAGGAUCAUACAGGAUGCUUUGCUCAACAAUGCAGAGUAAGUGAGGAGUCGAUACGAGCAGCUAGCUCUUAUGGAAUGAGAAUGAACGUAGUUUUCUAUGGUCAACACUAUCAGAACAUAAUCUCUAAAGCCUUAAACAAAAGAGUCAAACUGAGACAGUUCACACCAGGGCAACUGGUGUUAAACAAUUUCUUUCGCAACAGGACAAAGCCAAUGGGAAGUUAUCUCCCAACGGGAAGGUUUUCAACAUAGUUCACUGGGUUUUGACAGAAUGAGCCCUCAAACUUACAGAAAUUGACGGAGAAGUCUGCCAAAGCAUAUUAAUUCAGAUGCAGUCAAGAGUUACUAUGUGUAAUCUUUAUGUUUUUCCUAUAAGAUGUAAAUUGAACUAAGCCUGACUUGAUUCCCGUUUAAGAGGGAUAUGUAGGAAGCCCUAUGGGUUUGGUCACAAUUCAAUAAAAUUUUCAUCCCCUCCCCCUCACCUUCCCGAAAUUGGAAAUUAGGGUCGAAUUUUGAGGAGGACCCUUAAAAUUCCAAAGUAAUUUCAGGCGAUCGUCACACGAGCAUUAGUCAGAAAUGUCAUCCAAGCAAACUAUGGCAGAAUUUUGAGUUGGACCCUCAAAAUUCCGUAGCAAGAGAGGUUGCAAUGUUCUAAAUUGCGUCACAGUCUUCUGUUCAUCUAAUAACUAUUUUAAUUAUACGUUUAUAUUAUACUUUGACAAAAUCAUUCAUAUCAUCGAAAUUUCUUUGUUUAGCAAUGCUACCCCAAUAAGGAAGAAAUAUCACCAGAUCAAAACCGAACGAGUCAAGCAAAGUCAGCGGGGAUGCGAACUAACCUUCCCCUUUAUAAAACUCAUGAUUUUUCUUUAGAUGCAGGCACUAGGAUUAUAAAAUCAUUGAAACAUAUUGCAUAAUCAUGAAACAAAUAUCUUUCAAGAACAUAAUUCUCUAAACCAUCGCACUUACCGAUAUUUGCUAUCUGGACAGCAGUGAUGGCCCGUAUGUCACAAUGCUCCCAGUAACCACAAUGCCGCAAUAUGCUAUUAGCUAAGAUACUCUACUGUCAUUUGCUAUUUUAUCUCUUGCAUAUGGCUACUAUUCAGCUUUUCAAUUUGCAUAAGGCUACUAUUCUGCCUUCCGAGGUUAAACUCCACCUCUAUUUGCAUCUGUAUUGCAUAAGGCUACUAUUCUACCAUUCAACUUGCAUAAGGCUACUAUUCUGCCUUCCAAUUUGCAUAAGGCUACUAUUCUGCAUUCAAAUUUACAUAAGGCUACUAUUCUGCCUUCCGAGGUUAAACUCUACCUCUAUGUGCAUCACAUUCCAUAAGGCUACCAUUCUGCCAUCCCAACUACAUAUGGAUACUAUUAUGCCUUCCAAGACUAAAUGUUGUCUCUGCCCACAUUUGCACGGCUAAAAGAUCGCCACAUUUGCAUGGCUGAAAGAUUGCCACAUUUGCACAGCUAAUAGAUCACCACAUUGCACGGCUAAAAGAUCGUCACAUUGCAUGGUUGAAAGGUCGCCACAUUUACACGGUAGAAGGAUCACCAAAUUUGUACGGUUGAAAAAUUUCCACAUUUGCAGGGCUGAAAGAUCACCAUAUUGCACGACUUAAAGAUCACCACAUUGCACGGAUGAAAGAUCACCACAUUUGCACGGUUGAAAGAUCGCCACAUUUGCACGACUGAAAGAUCUCAACAUUUUCACGGCUAAUAGAUUGCCACAUUUGCACGACUCUGCCCACAUUUGCACGGUUGAAAGAUCGCCACAUUUGCACGACUGAAAGAUCGCAACAUUUGCACGGUUGAGAGAUCGUCACAUUUGUACGGCUGAAAGAUUGCCACAUGCUACUGCAUUCUUCAUAGGAUGAAAUAUCACCAACCUAUCUAAAGGCAUCAUCAUUCGGAGGCACCAUUCUCAUAGCCCGAGAAAACCAUGUCAUGGCCUGAGGAUCCUUUCAAUCUCUUGCAUGUCAUUAUUCAAAGGCAUCAUGGUUUGGAGGUACCAAUUUCAUAGACCGAGAGCAUCACUUCAUAGCAUUCGAAUCCUUUAUUAUAAACUUUAUGGCCCAGGACACCAUGUUCUAAAGACGUUAUCCUAACCAUCCGAAGACAACAUUCAUUGUCCGAUGGGAAUUUGCAUCAAAUCUAAAUUUACGCAUAAUGUAUGCUUGUAUUAUUUAUUUACAGGUAAACCGAUAAGCAGCAACCGUCCUGGAAGGAGCAUUUUUGCUCCAGUGCCUGCAACCACAUCAAACAAAGCCAUUACCAUAAUCUUAUCACUCACCCUAACCGAAACAUUGCGUCCGUUCUUAGAAAGUACCAACUGGCAUACUCCGCUAGCAGAUCCUGAACUACAUACGGCCUGAUUCUUGUAAAACCAUGGAUAUGUAGGCAUCUUAGAAGCCAGGGCGUGGCAUAUCUUCUUCAAACUAUUUCGUUCGGUCAAAAUUGAUCAUCAUAUCUGUACCUGACAACUCUUUCAUCCUUCUCAAGUAAAGAGGGGCAACUGUUGAUAACUAGUUUUUUCCUAUAUAUAUUAUAAUAUGCUAAGUAGUUUGAAAAUAUCAUAUAUAUGUAUAUAUAAUGUAUGUCCAAGUGUUUCUUUAUUUUUCCUUAAUUUUUAAAUGUUUUUAAAUCAAUUUAUUCCCCUAUUUUAUCCGUAAAAAACCAAUUAUAAUUUCUAAAAUUAUCAAUUUUGGUGAUUCACUUGUUGAACUUUCAUAUUUAUACUAAAAUAUAUAUAAGGAAAUUUUUUCAUAUUUUUAAAAAAUUAUUUAAUAUUUCUUAAAGCUAAAUUGCAUAAUUUCAACAUUAGCCUCUUAUAGGAUUUAAUUGCUUUUAUGUUUAUUAAGAUUAAGUCCAGUAUUUUUGAAUGGUUAAUUAUAUGUUAUAAAUCAUUCUAGUUCUUUAAAUUUAUUUCCAGAAAUUAAUUUGCUAUAUUUUAUAAAAUAAAGAGGGAAAAUGGCUAUUUAGAAUAUAGCCAGAUUUUAUUUCAAUAAUAGCCCUAAUUGAACCCAAUUUGAACCCAAUUUCCACUGGCCCUAUUCCUUUUAAAUCCGAGUCUUACCAAUUUAACAUACCCAACCAGGUCUAUUACCUAACCCUUUCAAUCCCAAUCGUUGUUCAUUUAGAUCAACAUCUCUCGUUCCCCCUUACCUUUUUAGCCCCAAACAACCCCAAAACCCUUUAAUUUCUGACCCACCACAGCCCUUGAUUCCCCUUCUCUCUCAAAUCUCGCUGAAACACCUACAAACCGUAGUAGCCGGCAUCAAACUACAACUUAAUCCAUGUCCUUCCGGGGUCAUUUGAGACUUAUACCAGCCUUCCAUGGUUUCUAUGUGUUUGGUUCUAUGGUUACAUGACCAGACAUCAAAGGAGUUCGGUGCAGUAAUUGAUCAACUUGUGUUCAUAGCCUUUCUCUGGCCAAUCACGGCCUUUGGAUGCGAUUCCUUGAUCUUUUCUAGUUAGAUCGUUACCUUUCAAGACCUUUCUCAUUUCUUUUGGGUUUUCUGAAUCCCUAAUCUCUAAGAUCUUUCUAGUUCUUUCAUGUUCAGCUUUAGAUCUGUACUUGGUGUGACUUUCUUGAGUGUCUCUUGAAGGUUCUUUAACUUGCUUUCAAAACGGCUCUUUUGUUACAUAUACAAAAUUCCUCGAAAGAGAUAUAGAGACUUAUCAUUUUCAAAAAACUAAAUCCCCAAAUAGGACUGGGGGUUAAAAUUGCAUACCAUUAAAAGAACAAAAAAGAAGAGAAGUUAUAUGCCAUAAACUUUCAUUGAGGGGUUGAAGAAGGGUCUAAAACAGUAUCACCAGCAACAGAAGGUUCGAGUGUCUUAGAGGAGUUGGAACACUCAUUGUACCUAUAUCAUCUUCAACAUGCUCGAGAGUAUCAGCCAUGGGAGAAGGAAAGUCUUGGCAUUGCCGAGUUUUGUCAAUAGCCUCUUUUAUCUUAGAUAACUCAGUAUCCUAGUUGAAACCUUCUUGGCUAGCUUCCACAAGGGUAUCAUGGCGUGUAUUUAAAAUCAGCCAACUCACUUCAAUAGCAGUUUUGUCCUCAAGAAACUCAUAAUCUCUCUCCCAGUGAUCAAUCUCAUUUUUACCUAUUUAUUCUUAGCCAAGGUAGAAUCAUUAGAAGCUUGCAAAGGAGCGAGUGAAAUUUCUAAAAAAAACUAAGCUUAUUAGAAGACUCAACGGAGAUCUUCUUGGAUCCGAGUAAGUGUUUGCACGAGUUCACCGGCGUAAAACUCUUUCUUACUUAGAAAAGACUUCAAUUCUCUGAUCUCUUCACUAGCAUUGGAGAGUUGCUCAGAAAAAAAAUGUCUUGAGGAUAUUUUUAUCUUUGUCCGCUUUAUUUGAAGAAGCCUUCUCAACAGCUAACUCUAAAGUCAGAACCUUCAACAGCUGCUCUAAGGUGCACUUGUUUUCUUCUAAUGCUUCCAUAUCAAUUUGAAGGCUUUCAUAUUGUUGUCUUCAGUUAUCUACUUCAACAUGAUAAUCGUGCAUUAACUACUCCUUGUGGGAAUCCUCUUCAUCAUUUAUAUGCCAAAAAGAUUGAUCAAAAGUGUGGNNNNNNNNNNNNNNNNNNNNNNNNNNNNNNNNNNNNNNNNNNNNNNNNNNNNNNNNNNNNNNNNNNNNNNNNNNNNNNNNNNNNNNNNNNNNNNNNNNNNNNNNNNNNNNNNNNNNNNNNNNNNNNNNNNNNNNNNNNNNNNNNNNNNNNNNNNNNNNNNNNNNNNNNNNNNNNNNNNNNNNNNNNNNNNNNNNNNNNNNNNNNNNNNNNNNNNNNNNNNNNNNNNNNNNNNNNNNNNNNNNNNNNNNNNNNNNNNNNNNNNNNNNNNNNNNNNNNNNNNNNNNNNNNNNNNNNNNNNNNNNNNNNNNNNNNNNNNNNNNNNNNNNNNNNNNNNNNNNNNNNNNNNNNNNNNNNNNNNNNNNNNNNNNNNNNNNNNNNNNNNNNNNNNNNNNNNNNNNNNNNNNNGGGGGGGGGGGGGGGGUAUGAACCUUAAUAGGAAAAGGAUAUAAUUAAGUGUGAAAGGAAACAAAUACAUUUAAAGAUGAGUGCACAAUUUCAUUCAUCCAAGUCAAAAAGUUGUAACUCUCAAGCUUGGAUUUCUCAACUAGACCGAUAAGAGGUAUUAACCACACAUCAACCCGACCUAAUUUCCUCAAAAGAUUACCAUUGACAGGAACCUCGAUGAUAAUUUGCUUCAUAGCUCCACUUCCACAUGAAGGAUCGACCUUAGUAUGAGGAACAAUAGUAAGGGGAACUCUGGAAGUAGUCAAAAUAGUUUGGAGAGGAGCAGUAACGGUAGCAGUAACAAUUGGUAAUGAAGAUAUCAUGGGAGAAGGAAUGGAAAAUUAGGAAAGAUGCACUUCAUCAGAAACAAAGCCCAAAUUGCAUCUGUCAAACCCACGAGCAAAAAGUUGAUCUUCAGAGAGCAACUAUAGGGGUGUCAUCAUCCGAAACCACCAUUGUGGCUUCAACAGGCUCAGUGAUGGGAAUAGAAUGGGGAGGAGAUGCUUCAUCAUAUAAAAAGACACGUCUUGUGGCUCGAGGCCUUUUUAUCAAAGAGCCGCCAUCUUGUUCCUCCUCUUCUUCAAAAUGUUUAAUUAUCGCAACCUUCCUUUUUGAUCAAGAACUGUCAUGACCUCAAACCGGACCGAUCAUGAUGGCGCCUCUCAUGAAGACAAGGCCAGCUGACACAACACCCAUAGCAGCCCUUCAAUCAUAAAGAGUCAUUUUAAAACCUUUAAUUAAACAAUAUUUCAUAAUAUAAGUCUGAAUAAAAUGCAUAAAUAACAUACAAGCCCGACAUCGGGGAGUCACUAGUCAUGAGAAUCUGUGAAGGUCUGAAUGCAACAAGAAGUCUAAAAUAAUGUACUACAUACAGUAAUGGCAAUUUGAGGAAGGGAGCGGUGCGACGAACAUCAUACAACCACCUUGCUAAUUCGGAUGACUCCACGUCUGAGCAAGUCAACAGCCGCUAGCGGGCUCCAAUAUACCUGCAUCUACACACGAAGGGCAGGGAGUAACGUAAGUACCCCAAACCAGUAAGUAAUAAGAGUAAAUAAAUACUGAGCAGUAUAAGUGUAAAUAAAAUGUGAAAAUAACAUACAAACCCGACAUCGAGGUGCCACUAGUCAUAUGCAUCUAUCAAGGUCUAAAUGCAACAAGAAGUCCAAAAUAAAGUACUAAAUAUAGUGAUAGCAAUGUGAGGAAGGGAGUAGGUCUACAAACGUCAUGCAACCACCUUGCUAACUUUAAUGAUUCCGCGUCUGAGCAAAUCAACACUCGCUACCAGGUUUCGAUAUACAUGCAUCGAGGUUUAGGGAGUAAUGUGAGUACUCCAACCUAGUAAGUAAUAAGAGUAAAUAAGUGAGCAAUAGGAAAUAAUGAAUCUUCAUUCAGGUUAGGCUCAAUAAACACGACAUGCUUUCAAAUCAUAAUGUGAGUCAAUCUUCCCUUUUAAAAUCCAUCUUUUAGUAAAAAUCAUUUUGAAAUAUUUUCCAGCAGUUUCAAUAGGUUCAAUACCAUUUAAAAUAAUAAAAGAGAUUAAAGCCAUAAUCUCUAUGGACACUUCAUAACAUAAAAUAGCCUCUCGGGCAAAAACAGUAAUCAUAUACACUUCAUAAAAUAAAAACCUCGAUGGAAAUAACCAAAUGAUAAAUUAGUGAUUAAUUUCUGAAUAGCUCAUAAAUCCCAGUUUAAAUAAGAGUUGUUUUAAAACAUUUGCUCGACAUUUAGGCAGAGGUGAUCAAUAUAAAAAUGAGUGAAAACAGUCACUAAUUCAACAUAUUCAAUAGAGACUCACAUUAAAGAGGAGUGAUAUCAACAAGUUCACCAAUAGGCCUCUCAGGCAAAGCAUCACUCAUGUGCAUGUGUAUAUAUCUAAUAUCUCUUGGGCUAGAUUCUCUAUCACUCGUGACUCAUAUCUUACCAAUCAAUACUCGCACUCAACAUUCAUGAUAAAUAUGUACCAUAUAGUAACUGUUGCGGCAUGCAGUCCAAUCCGUAUGUUGUUGUAGCAUGCAACCCGAUCCAUAUAUAUCAUCGACGGUGCUCACUGGGGUGUGCAGACUCCGAGAAGGGCUCAUAUAGCCCAAGCGCUAUACCGUUGUGGCGUGCAACCCGAUCCAACAUAUCGGUGCGACGUGCAACCCGAUCUAUAUAAGUAUUGUUGCAGCGUGCAGCCCGAUCCNNNNNNNNNNNNNNNNNNNNNNNNNNNNNNNNNNNNNNNNNNNNNNNNNNNNNNNNNNNNNNNNNNNNNNNNNNNNNNNNNNNNNNNNNNNNNNNNNNNNNNNNNNNNNNNNNNNNNNNNNNNNNNNNNNNNNNNNNNNNNNNNNNNNNNNNNNNNNNNNNNNNNNNNNNNNNNNNNNNNNNNNNNNNNNNNNNNNNNNNNNNNNNNNNNNNNNNNNNNNNNNNNNNNNNNNNNNNNNNNNNNNNNNNNNNNNNNNNNNNNNNNNNNNNNNNNNNNNNNNNNNNNNNNNNNNNNNNNNNNNNNNNNNNNNNNNNNNNNNNNNNNNNNNNNNNNNNNNNNNNNNNNNNNNNNNNNNNNNNNNNNNNNNNNNNNNNNNNNNNNNNNNNNNNNNNNNNNNNNNNNNNNNNNNNNNNNNNNNNNNNNNNNNNNNNNNNNNNNNNNNNNNNNNNNNNNNNNNNNNNNNNNNNNNNNNNNACACACACAUAUAUAUAUAUAUAUAUAUAUAUAUAUAUAUAUAUAUAUUGCUGUGGCGUGCAACCUGAUCAAACGAUGUAUAAUCCUCAACUAGGCCCUCGGCCUCUCUCACUCAUUAACAUUACCAUCAGACUCUCAGUCUAUAUCUGUCAUCAAUCUCACCAUCAGACCUUCGAUCUAUCUCUGUAAAACAUGGAACUCAGCCAAAACAGUUUCCACACUUUUAAAAAUAUAGUGAUAAAGCCGGAUCUGAAUAAUAAACAGGUAAAACAUGACCGAGGAUAUGUUUUCAAACAAGUAGAGUAAGGAAAGAUAGAAACAAUUCCCCUAAAGGUCUCAACAAGUCGGCACAAAGCCCCAAACAUGGCAUACAACCAAAAAUAUAAUAACAUUCAAACAAUGAACUAACAAAUACGCAUUAAAAUAAUCGUUAGGGAUGGAUUAUUGCAAAAUCCCCAGCGGCGCUCUACCCCACGCUUGUCCUCUAGCGUGUAAGUCACCUCAAAUUAAUAUAACAACAUGAAAUCCAGUUUUUCAGACCCUUAGGAUAGUAUUUACAAUCAUUACUUUACUUGACCUGGCGAAGUCCCUAGCUCGCGACGCCUUUGUCCCUCAAAUUAGCCUCCACGCACAUCGAAUCUAUCAAAAAUCGGAGCGAAUACAUCACAAUAUGCCAAGGGAAUAAAGCCCAAGCGAAAACAAUCAAUAACGAACACAAAUCCCAAAAUUACAAAAACCUGAGCCUCGGGCCCACUUCUCGAAACACAGAAUUUUUCAGAUCAACAGGUUCCUUAUCCUUCCACGAGUUCAUACAUACAAAAAGUUCUAAAACCCGACCUCAAAUGGUCUAUCAAAUCUUAAUUUAAAAGUCCAAUUUCUCAAGCCCUAGUUCUUUUAUUUUAGGCUUAGUUUCCAUGAAUGUAUAGGUGGAUUUCACUAUAAAAAUGAGUAUUGAGGUCGAAAAUCUUACCUACAGAUGAUUCCCCUUGAAUCCCUCUUCUAUUAGCUCUCACAAGCUCUAAAAUUGACAAACAAUGAAGGAACUUAACCUCCAAUUUGUGGAAAUGGGCUUUUAAAACAUUCUGCCCAGCACUAACUUUUACUUAAUCGCGAUAUCUGAAAAUCCCACGCGAUCUCAAAGCACAACCGACAAUUACACAAUGCGAUCGCGUACUCCCUCACGCGAAUGUGGUGCUUAGAAUCUCCCAAGUACGCGAUUGCAAAUGGUGACAUGCGACCGCGAUUGAUAGCAAUGCAAAACUGCGCGAUCACGACCUGAUCUAUGCAAAUGCGAAGAGAAUACCUGGAUGCCCCUAAAAUAACUCUAUGCGAUUGCGAGUCUCCUCACUCGAUCGCGGAGCUAGAGCAAAAAUCUGCAAUUUUUUAGAAUUUUCCAAACAUGAAAUGGUCCGAUUGACCACCGGAAACUCACCCGAGGCCCUCGGGACCUCAACCAAACUACCAAUAGAAUCCAUAACAUUUUUCAAGAUUAUUCCAAGCAUCAAUACACAUCUGAAACAUCAAAUUACUCAAAACCCAUCGAAUUGAAGCCUAAGUUUUCAAAAACAUCCGAAAUACGCUUUCGAUCAAAAACUCAACCAAACCACGUCCGAAUCACCUGAAAUUUGCACGCACAUCACAUAUGACAUAACGAAGCUAUAGAAACUCUCAAAAUUCCAUUCCGACCCUCAGAUCAAAAUCUCAAAUCAUAAUUCACCCAAAUCAAGCCUAAUUCUACACCGGACCUCCAAAACCAAUUCUGAUCGGGCUCCUAAAUCAUAAUUCACCCAACGAAGUGAGCUCACAUACAAAUAAAUCAACUCUUUGUCAAACCUUUCAAAUUCAUUCCGAUUUUUCUGAAACCAAAGCCAACGAUCUACAUCAAUCAUGAUAUAUUACACGGGUCAAGCCGUCCCGGAGAAUUGGCGAUCAAAGUGCAAAAGCUCAAAACGACUGGUUGGGUCGUUACAUCCCCCCCAACUUAAAAACACGUUCGUCCUUGAACGUACCCAUAGUUAUUUUAGAAGCCAACCACUAGCUUAAUAACCAUUCCAUGAAUAUAGCCAGGGGUGAUCCCACGUCACCCUAUCCAUAGAGGUUCCAUGACAUAUUUUAACAGAAAUUACAUAAUCCAGUCUAGCCCAUAAAUCAUAGAACCACAUUUUCUCUUCUAAAAGCAUCGAUAUGAUUAAAACCUCACACCCAUAGUCUGAGUAGGCGCAAACCAACUGCAAUAACCUAUGCCUGCAACCUCAAGUGCAAUUACCUAAUUUACCACAUAACUCAAACGCUCACAGCGAUAACUUAUAAUCACAGAAGCUGCACAUAACAACCGAAUACUGAGAGAAAACCUCUUAAUAACUAAAGUCUCAUUUCAACACUGAUAAAUACUGCAAGUGGUAAAUGAAAGACGCGAUAAACCAUAACCAUUUUUUCUCAGGUCACCCAUUCAUGAAGCCACUUCUCCUCUGAUGAAUACCAUGGAAAUCUCUGACCUGAAUCCCGAUAUUUAUCUAUCAAAUAUGUUUAAAUCGAACCCGUUUGUAUUCAUUAAGGACCCCAACAAUCUCAUCUAAUCCAACACAAUUACUCUAGCGACAUGGCACAUCAAAAUAGAAUAAAGCCACAACUUGCGCAGUCUGCGCACCGAUAAGCAACAAUCCGAGCAUACUCACAUCAUGAAACUAACUCAAUUGAAAGAGCUGUACCUCAAGCUCACCAGUACAAUCACAACACAUGGUUGAGAACCCGUCUCACAUAAUAGAAAUAGAACACACUAGUCUAACCUACAAGGUCAUAUUUCCAUAUAGCUUCGCUACCAUGCUCGAUCCUAUCCAAAUACUGCUCCACAUAGAAUACCUCAAGUCAUUAUGCACGAAAUCGGCAACCACGCUCAAUUGAUGUAUGGAAUUAAAGCAAAUCGUUACACUCACGGUGAAACAAAUGAAAUACGCCAUGCAAACCCCAUAGGACAUAACAAUACGUCAUUCAUCAAGCAACUACCAAUUACUCUUCCCGCUCGACUUCUGUUAUGAAAUUACGAUAGAACCGCACCAUAGGUGCCUAUAACCAACAUAUCAUAAUAUCUCACAACACAGAAAAGUAACUCAUAGAUCCCCUAAUUGCUCAUAUUUCAAAUAAAUCGAGUCAACACAUCCUUCGCCAACAGGAACUCGAAAUCAACAAAAUCAUCUCGAUGUCGGACACAUAUCUGUAUAGGUCUACUAAUGGACCACUCAUCAACUCCAGCUACACACAACAAAUAAAUAAUCAUUCGAAGGUCCACAAUGACUCAAUCAUAGCACAUACUAAGAUCUGACUAACUUACCCAUAUUUUGCCAUCCACAACCAUAAGCUAACCUCCAUAUGAGACUUCUAAUCUCCAAGUCCAUAAAACACGCUAAUUACCAUAUCUGAUUCCAAUUACGCCACUCACAUAUAUAAAUCACCUCUAGUACUAAAUCAUUCCAUGAGAAAUACUCUAAGAUUCUUCCGCGCUUCUAAACAAACUCUAAUAUCAGUAAUCGGUCUAACAAGAAGUGUUGUAAUACUACCAAAGUACCAUCAACUUAAUCACAUUGCCUCUUUCUGAAACAUAUACCCUUGUAAAAUUACCUCAAUUAGCGUUACCAUUUCCUUAAUCAUCAGAAGAUCAUUUCUCAACUCAUUUGAAGCUCAUUUCUAUAUUUAUUUCAAAUUGCUCGUGCUGCCUAAGAAUUUAUGACCUCCUAUUCAAAUCUUAACUAUGACCUUACACAUGAAAAUAUCAAUCUUACACAACAUACCGCAUAAACCGUGCAGUCCGAGGAUAACAUGAAAACUUUAUCUUCCUUCCGAGUCACAAACACCUAUGCAUUCAACUAGUCAAGAAUAUUCCAUUGGUCACAUCUAGGAGAAAAAUUACUAUACAUCCCAUGCUCUGCAUGCCCAUAGAAAAUAUACGUCUCCAAACCACAAUAUAACCCAUCAAGAACUCUCUGAGUUCCUUUUGCACAAAUCGGACCAGUCAGGACUGAAUCCUUCCAACUUGAUCAAGCUAAGCAAGGCAUCAAAACCUAAGAGCAUUGCCGCAAAAGACUAGUAGAAACUCAUUACCUCGAACACACACAAGGAACUAAUCAUAUCCUUCCCUUGCUGGUCCGAUAUACUAUCAUGCUAUUUCAUCUUCAACUUGAUAUUCCCUCUUGUUGUUGCACCACAAUUCAUCAAUACUUCACUCUGAAGAACUUCUUGUGAAUCUAAAUCUAUUACCUUUACCUUCAUGUUACGUAUAAAAUCCCAUAAUUAACGUAGAAACAUUGCAUGUCUUGAACCCUUCCAAUGAAAACUCAAUUUCUAGUCAUAUAUAUGACUUUAAGAUACCCAAUUUCUACAUGUAGAAUCAUGAACACAUUAGAACCACUCUCUAGGGUCAUUCUCUCUAUUAAAACUGCAAUCAACUAGAUCAACAUAAUCGAGCAACAAGUGCCUCAUUGGCACUUUAGACAUUGCACCAUAUAACCUUAUCAUAGUCAACAAUUUUCCUUUACCUAAGCCAUCAUGAAGCUCAGUCUCUGCACCCCAGAACUAAUCCACCAGCAUGCCUCAACCGGAACUAACCUAGCACAUAAUUGUACAAUCAACCAAUCAAUAGCAACUCCCCAACUUGGCGCGAAGCCAUAGAUCAAAACACACACAAUAAUUCAUAACUCAAACACUUUAUUGAUGCCAUAAUAUCAUAGUGAUAUUAAACUCAAUCCUUCAUAAGCUCGUGAAACACAGACCAUCUGGUACUUUAAAUCUUUUGCAAAUCUCGCAUUCAUCCUCGCAACAGUCAAGCGCACUCUCUUAAGCAACCCAAAUUUAAAUUUCAACACAUAUUUUUCACUUGUAAAUGAGAUCUUCUAACAUACAACAGAAGGAUCACACCACUUCAGAACAUAACCCACCUGUUUUGCCUUCAACUAACAUUCCUGCACACCUUCCACCGUCACAAAUAUUAUGCAAUCACUUAGCCUUCCUAAGUCUGAAGUUAUGUCGUAACAUUAAAUUUACUUCACUCCCAACUACAAAACAUGAAAAGAUUUUUCAUACACCCAUAACUCGAGGCUAUACCUCGAAUCACGAUGUAAUUCAAGCACCUAAUAGUUUUUCUAUCCUCUAGCAGACCCUUCUCGUCGUUUUCCAAAUCAUAUGAAUAUAACUCGCAGUACUAAAAUACUCAUCAUAUAGCUAUCCAGACAUGAUUCCUACUAAUAGGGACAAUAUCGUACCUAUAAUUUCGAAGCACAUACUCACACAAUCAGCACUUAGUGCACAAGCCAUAAGCAAAGAUUUGGCCUCAAGUCCUCUGGUCUGGCCCAACAUCAACUCACAGAGAUCACAUCUGGCCCUUUGAUAGAAAAUUACAAGCCAUUAAGGCACAUUUGAUACUGUGCGCUCAUGCGUGCAUACGAACGCGUGGAAGGAAUUUCAAGGAGUCCCUUUUCAAGCUAAAUCAAGGACGCACGCUGAGAAUUCAAGAAUAUGAAACUUUCCUAAAGGUUCCGAAACCUCUCUAGGAUAAAUACAGACGUCUCUGUACCAAUCUGCGAGACUCUACUAAACCUGCUCAUGACUCGUGAGACCUAGUAACCUAGGCUCUGAUGCCAUGUUGUCACAACCCUAAACUGGCCCGAUCGUGUGCCUCUCAUGAAGACAAGACCAGCCAACGAAAAACCAUAGCAACCCUUCAAUCAUUAAAUGUCAUUUUAUAUAUUUAAGUGAAUAAUAUUUCGUAAGAUAAGUGUAAAUAAAAUGUGAAAAUAACAUACAAACCCGAAAUCGAGGUGCCACUAGUCAUAAGCAUCUAUCAAGGUCUGAAUGCAAUAAGAAGUCUAAAAUAAAGUACUAAAUAUAGUGAUAGCAAUGUGAGGAAGGGAGAGAGUCUACAAACGUCAUGCAGCCACCUUGCUAACUUUAAGGAUUCCGCGUCUGAGCAAAUCAACACUCGCUACCUGGUUUCGAUAUACCUGCAUCGAGGUUUAGGGAGUAAUGUGAGUACUCCAACCUAGUAAGUAAUAAGAGUAAAUAAAGAAUGAGCAGUAGGAAAUAAUGAAUCUUCAUUCAGGUUAGGCUCAAUAAGCACGACAUGCUUUCAAAUCAUAAUGUGAGUCAAUCUUCCCUUUUAAAAUCCAUCUUUUAGUAAAACUCAUUUUGAAAUAUUUUCCAGCAGUUUCAAUAGGUUCAAUAAAAUUUAAAAUAGUAACAGAGAUUAAAGCCAUAAUCGUUCCCUCGGGCAAAGAAUAGUUCGUAAAACAGCCCCUCGACCAAAAACAAUAAUCAUACACACUUCAUCAAAAAAACUUCAAUGGAAAUAACAAAAUGCUAAAUCACUGAUUAAUUUAUGAACAUCUUAUAAACAUCAAUUUAAAUAAAAGUUUUUUAAAAAUAUUUGCUCGACAUUUCAGCAGAAGCUCAAUAUAAUAAUGAGUGAAAACAGUCACUAAUUACACAUAUUCAAUAGAGAUUCACUUUAAAUAGGAGUGAAUUCAACAAGUUUAUAAACAGGCCUCUCAGGAAAAGCAUCAUUCAUGUGCGUGUAUAUAUAUCUAAUGCCCUCAAGCUAUCCUCUCCAUCACUUAUGACUCAUCUCUUACCAAUCAAUACUCGCACUCAACAUUCACACUCAAUAGGUACCACAUAGUAACCACUGCAGCGUGCAGUUCGAUCCAUAUAUCAUUGUGGCGUGCAGCCCGAUCCAUAUAUAUCGUCGGCGAUGGUCACUAGGGGUGUGCAGACUCCGUGAGGGGCUCCUAAGACCAUAGCGCUAUAUCGUUGCGUCGUGCAACCCGAUUCAUGUAUAUAUAUAUAUAAAUGUAUUAAUGCAGCGUACAGCCCGAUCCAGAGAUGUACAAUCCCUACAACUAGGCCCUUCGCCUCUCUUAGUCAUCAAUCUCACCAUUAGACCCUUGGUCUAUCUCAGUAAAAUAGGGAACUCAGCCCAAAGAGUUUCCACACUUUUAAGAAUAUAGUGAUAAAGUCGGAUUUGAAUACUAAACAGGUAAAACAUGACUGAGGAUAUAUUUUCAAAUAAGUAGAGUGAGGAAGGAUAGUAAAAAUGCCCUUAAGGAUCUCAAUAAGUCGGCAAAAAGCCCCAGACAUGUCAUAUAGCAAAAAAUAUAAUAACAUUAAGCAAUUAUCUAUUAAAUACGAAUUAAAAUAAUUGUUACGGAUGGACUAGGUCUAAAUCUCUAGUGGUUCUCUACCCCACGCUCGUUAUCUAGCGUGUCAGUCACCUCAAAGUAACACAACGACAUGAAAUCCAUUGUUUCAAACCCUUAGGAUAGUAUUUACAAUCAUUACUUUCCUCGAACCGGCAAAGUCCCUAGCUCACGACGCCUUUGUCCCUAAAAUUAGCCUCCAUGCACAUUGAAUCGAUCCAAAAUAGGAGUAAAUACAUCACAAUAUGUGGACACAAAUCAAUAGCGGACACAAAUCCCGAAAUUACCAAAACCCGUACCCCCGGCCCACUUCUCGAAACUCAAAAUUUUUCACAUCAACAGGUUCCUUAUCCUCCCACGAGUUCAUAAAUAUCAAAAGUUCUAAAAUCCGACCUCAAAUGGUCUGUCAAAUCCCAAUUUAAAAGUCCAAUUUCUCAAGCCCUAGUUCUUCAAUUUUAGGCUUAGUUCCCAUGAAUUUCUAGGUGGAUUCAUGGUAAAAAUGAGUGUUGAGUUCGAAAAUCUUACCUCCAUGUGAUUCCCCUUAAAUCCCUCUUCCAUUAGCUCUCCCAAGCUCUAAAAUCGACCUAAAAUUGAGCAACUUAAUAUCUAAUUCGCGAAAAUAGGCUUUUAAAACAUUUUGUUCAGCACUAAAUUUUACUUAAUCUUGAUCACGAAGAACAUCCCCCACUUACACAACGCGACUGCGUACUCCCUCGCAAAAACGUGAUGCUCAAAAUUUCCCAACUACGCAAUCGAAAAUGAUGACACACGACCACAAUUGACAGUAACACAAAACUACGCGAUCGAGACCCUAUCUAUGCGAGAACGAAGAGAAUACCCAGAUUCCCUUGAAAUAACUCUGCGUUAUAGCAAAGAGGAAACAUAUGCAGCAAAGAUGGAACUAAAACCUGCUAUUUCUGUAAUUUUUCCAACAUGAAAUGGUCCGAUUGACCACCCGAAACUCACCUGAGGCCCUCAGGACCUCAACCAAACAUACCAAAAUAAUUCAUAGCAUCAUUCAAGCUUGUUCCAAUCAUCAAAACACCUCAUACAAUGUCAAAUUACUCAAAACUCAUUGAAUUCAAGCCUAAGUUUCCAAAAAAUUCUGAAAUAUGCUUUCGAUAAAAACCCAACCAAACCAUGUUUGAAUGACCUAGAAUUUUCCACACAUAUCACAAAUGACAUAACGAAGCUACAGAAACUCUCGAAAUUCUAUUCCGACCCUCAGAUCAAAGUUUUACCGAUCAACCAGAGUUCACCAAAAUACUAACUUCGCUAAUUCAAGCCUAAUUAUACACCAGACCUCCAAAACCAAUUCUGAUCACGCUCCCAAAUCAUAAUUCACUCAACGAAGCUAACCAAAUAAUAAAAAAUUCCAAUCCGAUCUCAUAUACAAAUAAAUAAACUCUUGGCCAAACGUUUCAAAUUUAUUUUGAUUUUUUUGAAACCAAAACCAAUGAUCUACAACAGUCAUAAUACAUUACAGGGGGCAAGCUACGCCCGAUAACUUGCGAUCAAAGUGUAAAAUCUCAAAACAACUGGUGGGGUCAUUACAAGAACCCAAGAUUAUCUCUUGAGCUCUUCUAAAAGAAACUCUAGAAGGUACAACAACAUUAGUGCUUAUACCUCGAAUCGGAAAUCCUAAUAAAAAGAAGGAACAAAAUAAAUUCCAAAGGAAGAAGUAAAUUAAAAUACGAAGGAUAUAAGAGAAAAAACAUUUACCAGGAGUCUUUAUUUUCCAACCAAAGCGGUGAGAAUUCCAGGAUAUACCUUCCAUCGGAGCAACAUUCAACAACUUUCCUAUCCAACCACGGAAAUUGAGAAUCUCAUCAAUAGUUCCAUUGGUUUCUGGAAAAGAAGAGAAAGUUAAAAUUUUGGAGAACAACAUUGAUAUGAAAAGUUAUGAAAACAAAACUUAUGUGCAAAAUUCCACUUCUAAGGGAAAAAACAUUUUCUUGACCCACUAGAUCGACAGAGGGGGUAGCAACAAACCUAGCGUACCAACCAUAGUCUUUUUCAUCCUCGAGCCUAAUCAGCACUCUCUUACUUCUCGCUACUAAAGUAAAAUUCUCUUUGCGAAAAAUUUUAGGAGAGUAGAGAUGAAACAAGUGAAAGAAAGUAAAAGGCUAACAAACCAUUGUUGAUACCCAAUUUUUUUCUAUGUAUUUUUUACAUACAAAUGCUUUCAAAAUAGCAUAUAUAUAUAUAUAUAUCCAUAUAUAAGUAUGCCCAAGUUUUUUAGUAUUUUUCCAAUUUUCUAAAGAUUUUUAAAAUUAAUUUAUUUUCCAUUUUAGUGGUACAAAAAUCAAUAAUUAAUAAAAAUUAUCCUUUUUGUGAAUAAUUUAUUUUAUUCCCAUAGUUAUGCAGAAAUAUAUGGAAAGUAAUUUUACUCAUUUUUACAAAUUUAUUUGAUAUUUUAAAAUCUAAAUUACAUAUAAUUAAAAUUCUAGCCUAUUUCAAGAUCUAAUAGCAUUUUAUAAUUAUGAAAUUUAUUGUUAUAUUUUUAAUAUUUAAUAUUUAUAUAUUAUUAGUUGACUCAGUACCUUUAAUUUAUUUUCAAAUCAUUUUACUAUGGGAAAAAACUUGCUAUUUUAAAUCUACCCUUAUUUUAUUCAAAUUAUAGCAAAAAUUGGCCCCCCUAAUUGGCCCAAUUUCAAACCCCUAACGAACCGGCCCAAUUUCAAUAUAACCCGACUCCCAGCAAACUAAUUAAACCCACCCGGCCUCCCCUUUAAAUCCAGGCCUUUGAUCAUUUUGAUCAACGACCAUAAUUUCCCCUUUCCUUUUUAAUUCACCCACACCCCUAACCCUAACUCAUUUCACUCAACGCCGCCUUUGAAGUCCCUCUCCUCUCAAACUCUCUCAAAAGUUCUCGAAACCCUAAAGUCUUCUACCAUUUUCAACUUCAAACUCGCUGGAAUCUGUGGCCUCUCAAGCUAUGGAUGGCCUACACUCAUCUCCCUCUGCUCUUUAAUGAUUGGUGUUCGAACUUUUGAUGUCUGACCUCGAAAGUGUCCAUUCAGGUCUUCGCCGAUUCAAGGUCCUGCGACCAUCUCUGGCCCUGCUAUGGCAUACUACGGUAUUUUGAGCCUGGUUUUGACCUUUCCGACCAAGAUUGAACCUUUUCAAAGACUUUCGUGUUUUAAGGGUUCUUCUGAAAUUCUAGCUACUCGAGGUUUUCUCUAAUUGUUUCUUAGAUUUGUUAUAUAUUUGUGCGCUACUUGAGUUUUUCAACAUUUUUUUCAAUUUUUCUUUCAAAAAUUACUUCGCUUUGAUUUAGCGUUUAUGAAAAGUUCAUAAUGUUUCUCCGACUUUUCUUUUCCUUUUUCUGUGUGUAUAUUUGUCACGCAUGUACUUCUACUGCGUUCUUAUGUUUUUCAACUAUAUAUGUUCUUCUGUACCUUAUCUUUCUACUGUGUUUCCACAAUAUACUCGCAUGUUCAUCCUGUUGUGUUUUUCCUAUAUGUCUUGUUGAUUCACUUUUCUGGUAUUUUGUGCUCUCCUAAUAUAUAUUUUUGCUACUAAGUUCUUAAGUUCUUUAUUUGUCUUUUAUUGGACCUUUGUUUGAUUUCUCUCUAAGUAUUAUUCUUCUACUAUUUUCUAGGAUGCUAUACUAUCUCUCCUCUCUUCUAAACCCCAUUUGAGUCCCAGCUUUUUCUUAAAAAUGUGCCUCAUAUUCUCAAUAUGCUUCAAAUCAAUUUCUUCACUCUGUUAUUUCAAACCUGCUUUUAUAUCUGUUAGUUUCCUCACGAGUAUUUGAAAGCAAUCUCUGAGCAUGUAUCAAUUACUUGCCUCCUGGUCUCUGUAUCUAAUUCAAAAUGGAAACCCUUGGAUUUGGGGGUUUUACCUUGUGUUUAGACCAGGGUUCUACUUUGGAACCCUUGACUCUUUUAGACUCAUUCUGAGUCUAUGAGAUGAGUUUGAAUCUCUUUUUUCACGACUCUGAACUUUUAAAUUCUUCUAUUGAUUCGCAUAAUAGUUCUUCGUGUUUAAGUGUGGAUGUAUGCUUUUAUACAUGUGAUAAAUUUUUUAUUUUGAAAAGGUUUUCCAAUUUAUGAUUCAGAAUAUUUUUUUCUAGAUUUAAUUGAUUAGUACUGAUUUUCCUUAAGUCAAGAUCAUUCCCAUCUUCCUUAACUUGUUUAUUCACAUGAAAUCUCCAAUUUAUGAUUUUAUUGGCUAUUUCCUUAUUUGUACAAACCGUGUAUUAUUAGACUCUUUCCUUAAAUAAAUCUCUAUGUAUUUACCCUUCUUGUGCUGCUUUGGAGAAGUGUCUGAUCAACCUCUUUCCUUAAUAAUUUUACACGUUUGAUAUUAGAAUCCUUUUGACUAAAAGGAAACUUGUGUAAUUGAUUAACAAUUGAUUUUUGUAAUUAAUCUCCCACCUUAUUUUUUUUAAUACACUAGGCGAGUGCCUGGUGCUAGAUUUUAUUAAUAACUGGAAGAAAAUUACAAACACUUAGGAAAAGUACAAAUAAGGGGGACAUUAUCACCGGUAUUGUUACGCACAAAUCGGGCUAACCUUACCGUGCUAAUCCUAUUGAGGCUUGGCAACCUUACUUAUAAACANNNNNNNNNNNNNNNNNNNNNNNNNNNNNNNNNNNNNNNNNNNNNNNNNNNNNNNNNNNNNNNNNNNNNNNNNNNNNNNNNNNNNNNNNNNNNNNNNNNNNNNNNNNNNNNNNNNNNNNNNNNNNNNNNNNNNNNNNNNNNNNNNNNNNNNNNNNNNNNNNNNNNNNNNNNNNNNNNNNNNNNNNNNNNNNNNNNNNNNNNNNNNNNNNNNNNNNNNNNNNNNNNNNNNNNNNNNNNNNNNNNNNNNNNNNNNNNNNNNNNNNNNNNNNNNNNNNNNNNNNNNNNNNNNNNNNNNNNNNNNNNNNNNNNNNNNNNNNNNNNNNNNNNNNNNNNNNNNNNNNNNNNNNNNNNNNNNNNNNNNNNNNNNNNNNNNNNNNNNNNNNNNNNNNNNNNNNNNNNNNNNNNNNNNNNNNNNNNNNNNNNNNNNNNNNNNNNNNNNNNNNNNNNNNNNNNNNNNNNNNNNNNNNNNNNNNNNNNNNNNNNNNNNNNNNNNNNNNNNNNNNNNNNNNNNNNNNNNNNNNNNNNNNNNNNNNNNNNNNNNNNNNNNNNNNNNNNNNNNNNNNNNNNNNNNNNNNNNNNNNNNNNNNNNNNNNNNNNNNNNNNNNNNNNNNNNNNNNNNNNNNNNNNNNNNNNNNNNNNNNNNNNNNNNNNNNNNNNAUCUUUUAUUUUUUGAACGAUUGGACUUUGAUGACGAAAUUGUAGUAGCCUGCUUUUGUUUGGCCGCUCUCAUUGGAAUUUGCCUAACAUUUGGUUUCUUUUCGGACCAUGUUCCAUUUUUCAUCAAGAUAGCACCUGACUUACUCGUUCCAAUGUGGCCAUUCGCAAUUUUGGAGGUGUAUCUAGGAAGUGAAUGCAUGUGGAAAUAGUGGGCUUACUUGGAAUGAAAUCUGGAGCCUCCCACUUGAUCUUUGAUUUUCCCUUUAAAGAGUUUUCAAGAUAUGGACUUUGAAUUUCAUCCUUGAUUACUCUUCCUUUUAAAGAGUUUUCAAGAAUGGACUUUGAAGUUCAUCCUUGAUUACUCUUUCGACUCGAUGAUUUUCAAAAAGAAAUAGUUGUUUCAGCGUAUUUUCCCGCUCCCUUUUCAAAUUUGCACAAAAAUAUCGAUGAUCUUUCCACUUAGAGACAUCGCCAGCAGCUAAAUCUUUAGUAGCAAUCAUACUAAGUUGAGUUUGAGCCCUUUCAUUCACAUUAUCCUGGUAAUUACAUUCAGUUAAAUGUCGAUCCUCAGGACAGCUAGGAACUGCAGCAACUGCCUGUGUUGACUUCUCAUGUGGUUCACAGUCUUCUCAUGUGCUGUCUUCAUCGAACAAUCCCUCUCUCCAGGGCUCUUCAUCGUCGUAUUCUCGUUGGUCUUCCCACAGUUUUGAUUUAAUGACCAUGUCCCUUAUCUUAACAGUUGGAGCAAUAUGGUUCUUGGCAGCCUGCAAAUUCUGUCCACUGCAAGUUCCAUAUUCGUUGUUAACAUUGGAGAGUGCAGAGAAUGAAUUUCUAAUUGUAUUUGAAGCUGGACUGUUAUCUGUACUUUGCAAUUUGUUUUUAGAAUUUGGAGAUAAUUCUCUGUUGGACUUGGAAGAGCAUUUAUUUGCAGUAUGUUGUGCAACUUUAAAGCUAUCUGGCUGAUCUGAAAUAUCCUGUGGAAUUGACUUCUGCUCGUUGCCUUCCUCUGGACACCUUGCUUUUAAUUGAGUUACAGCUCGAGCAUAAUGUUGCUGUCCAGAUUUGUUUGCUUCAUCCAUUGAAACAGCAGUUGUUUUAUGUGUGAAUGAACUCACAUUGCUUUUUUUAAAACUAUCUGGCUGAUUUGAGAUAUCCUGUGGAAUUGACUUCUGCUCAUUGUCAUCCUCCCAGGGCCUCCAUAUUGUUUCCAUUUUCUUGACCAAGCAUAGUAACAUUGUCAAUGUUAGAUAUCUGCUUAGACUGCUGCUGUACAAUGAACUUCUGUUUGAAACUUUUUACAUUAAAUUUUUCUGGCUUAGUAGAUGGAUCUGCAGGUUUCCAGUUUGAAGUCAUUUUUCCAUUUACUGCAUUAACAGAUCCUAGAUGCUGCAGAUUGCUCCUGUGCUGCUGUCCUUCAUGACCAAACAUCUGCCCAUUCUUUGCACUAUGACUGAUAUGGUUUACAUUGCUUUGCAUUGUCCCGGCGUUAUCUACAUUUGAUACUAUCUUUUCAUUAUCAACCAUACAAUGCAUUUUCAAUGGAACAGUGUUCUACAGUGUACAAACAAAGUCAGAAACACCCUUUAUUAUUGGCAAAGUUUCUGCAGAUGUAGCAGCUGACAAAACUUGCUGCUGUACAUUGCCCUUGAAAUGCUGUCCAUCCCUUUCGACCAAAUGCUCAGCCUGUGCACUAUUAUUGAUAUAAUCUGCAGAAGACUGUUUUUUCCCAGUAGAAUCAACAUCUGAUCGAGCAUGAAUUGUAGACUUAAGAUUGUCCAAAUUCUUCACCUCCUUCAUGGAGUCAACUGAAGAUGCUAUAUGUGAUACCUCUGCCAUUUCAGUUACUGCAGCAGUCUUCAAAAUUAAAUGUUGAUCUGUAUCAGUCCUUUCUAUCAAAGAAGUUUGAGAAAACUCAUCAUUCUGUUUCAUAACAUCUUGUACAGCUGAAUCAAAAUGACCAAAAUUCUCAUUCAAUACUGCAUUCUUUUGUGAAGUCACUGCUUCAGCAAAUUGUGCAGUGUGCUGUGCGACUUUUGUUAAUUCAACUCCUGAAUUAUCAACUUUUUCUUGCAAAUCCUUAGCUUGUUGUCCAGCUCGUUUACUAUUUAGAUAGUCCCUUGCAUCCCCUUGUAAUUUGUCAACUUCAUUCCCAUCAUUAAGAAUCAGAUCAGUAACCACAUUAUCCUCUAUUACCACAUCUACGUCGGCAUUUUCUUUUCUGAUUCUGCAGGUGCUGAAUGAGCAAUGUGCUGUGCGACUUUUGUUAAUUCAACUCCUGAAUUAUUAGCUUUUUCUUGCAAAUCCUUAGCUCGUUGUCCAGCUCGUUUACCAUUUAGAAAGUCCCUUGCAUCCCCUUGUAAUUUGUCAACUUCAUUCCCAUCAUUACGAAUCAGAUUAGUAACCACAUUAUCCUCUAUCACCACAUCUGCUUCGGCUUUUUCUUUUCUGAUUCUGCAGCUUUACGUCGUGCCCUUGAUGUUUGCAGCAAGCACAGUACUUUGGUAGAUUGUCGAAAACAAUUUGUUGAUGGAACUCGACAGUUUUACCUGAAGCAGAAUCUAAAAUCUGCAGCGUGACCUUUUUUGGAUGUUUAUUCAAAAGGUCUACUAUAACCUUAACUCUUGCCGCGCUAGGAAAACCUGAAAGACCAUGGAAAUGUUCUGAAGAAGUAUUCUUCGCCUAUGGAUUUAAUAUAUCCAGUCGACUUUGAAAGGAAGCGAACAUAAUCAUCGUACAGAUCAAAUAUGAUUAACAGAUGCCGAAAUUCCAAUUGUCCAACAUUACAGUGACCUUGAACAUCAAAUUGCGACGAGAACAUCUCUCUCACUUCCGCUAAAUCAGGUCUUCCAUAAGAGAAUUUUAGAAUAACUGUCUGAUGUAAUCCUUCUUCCUUUGUGAAUUUAUUAACCUCUUCCAUUGUGAAUUGAAUUAUAGGUUCAUCAUGAUUGUAAAUAACUGGACAUAGCUCUAUUUUAGUCGGAGUUGGCUGUUUUGCUUGUACAGUUGAAGCAUAUGAUUGUUUGAACUUAUCAUUUUAAACAUAAGCCUCUCCCACAGCCAAAGGCUGGGGAGAGGUCCGCGCAGACAUGGUUGCCGAGAUCACUACACGAUAACACAAUUCAAUUCAUCCAUUUUUCUAAGCUGCCGAGAACAGUAAAUUGUAAAGAUCUUGGAGAAUUGGAUGAAGAUUUCGAAAUGAAACCAGUUGGAGAUUAUUUGACAGCACGAUGAACUAGUAGCUUUGAAAAUUUCGAAAAGCUACAGGAAAUCAAAAACUAGAUUCAAGAUUUAGAGAAAUUGGCUAUAGAUUUGAGUAUAAAAUCUAUUGGAGAUUAUUCGCAACGAUAAGGGGAUGUCGUGACACCAAAAGUGUGACAAUCCACCACCAGAUUCCGGCGAUAUAGCCGAUGAAUAGUGACGGAAAUAAUAUUCUGUGAAUAGUGCCUAGAGAGAAGGCAGAGGAUUUUUUUUAUAGAGAGAAAGUCAUGAUUUUUAAUUAACUCUCUACAUGUGAAUAUCGUUUUUAUUGCUUUCUCUGUUGAUAUAUUUUUUAAAUUUAAAAGUAAUUUAACUUUAAAUUUUUCAUUUUAUCAAUUUUACCGUUAACAAGAAAUUUUUAUAACUAUAAAAAUGUCAUGGCCCCAUAAAGCUUUUACCGCUUAAGCUUUUAAGAAGACGAGUUUCAAAAGUCUUUUUUAAUUCCGGCGAUAUACCCGAUGAAUAGUGAUGGAAAUACUAUUCAGUGAAUAGUUCCUAGAGAGAAGGCAGAGGAUUUUAUCUCCCACAUUAUUUUGCUUGCCUUCUACACCAUAAAAAGGGCACAACCCCUUUCUCACUAACAUACCUUGAGUUCGAUACUAUUUCAGACAUUUUCAAUUACACAACUCACAGUUCAACACUUUUACACACAUAAUCUCGUAGCUCUUCUGAUUAUUUCCUUGCAAUUUGGAUAUACAAGACUGCUGCUUUCUUCUCUUAUUUCCCUGAAACCUGUAUGUUCUAAUUUAGUUUUUAGCCUCAUCCCAAUGUGUUCAUGUUACAGCUUCUACAAUCCUAUCUACGUUGCUAUUUAUGCUCAGCGUUAAAUAUGUGUGUUGUUCUCUUUGCAUAUGUUUCUGUUGUGCAUCGUUGUACCCCCUAUUCCCUUCUAUGUGUUUGAGUUAAAGUUCAGAACAUGGCAAAAUCCAAAUUGUUGCUCAUGUCUGGACUUGAUCUUUUAAGGGAUCGUAACUCCCAGACAAUGUGGCUAAUAGGGUUGUUGGGGUGUGCCAGCAUUUCCCAGAAUUCCCUCUUUGCACUUACACUUUCUACUAGCUUCUAUGUUCUACCCCCUCCUAUGAGCCUUGCUUUGGGACCUUGAGUUCCCUCUGAACUUGGAUAUUUGAGGGUUGGCUAUUCCAUACUGCACUAUGAUUCAAGUUUGCAAUAUAUUUGGGUGUGAGCACUGCCCGAAGUUUAUUUGAAACUCUUAGGGAACUCAAACACAUCCCAAAUAAGAGAAAAGUUUUGGAAUUUGAUUUUUGGCGAUUAGUUUAUUUCAUGUUUCACACAAGAAGUCUGAAAUAGGCUUUCCUUGGUUGUAGUUUUAGUUCUCUGAUGUAAUAUAAUUUUCUUAUUAAUUCUGGGUUGUAAUAAUAACUUGUAAUAACUAUUGGGGCUUUUAGUAAAUAGGGGAGGGUCAAUCAUGCAUGCAAAGGGGUAGACAUCAUGUUCAUAGGGAAUAUUUACACUUCUAUAGUCAUGUAUCCCGUUCUCAACUUCUGCUUUUGCAUCUCACAUAGGGACCAUGUAUAUAGGCUUCUUCAUUUUUUCAUAUCAUAUAGGAAGCAUUUAUAUAGGCUCAUGUAAUUCUGCAUUAUACAGAGACCAUGUUUAUAAGUCAUUUCUGAAAUGUUGCAUGCCAUAUAGUUAUUAUGCCUAUAGGACUUCCUGAAUUUUUGCAUCUACGUCUAUCACUAGGCAAACCUGCUCAUAGGUUUGAAUAAUAAACACCAUGCUAGAUAUUAUGCCUACAUGAAUUUCUGAAUUUUUGGAUAUGCAUCGACCACUAGGCAAACCUGUGUGUAGGUUUAAAUAAUAAACAACAUUCUAGAUACCAUGCCAAUAGGACUUCUAUUCUCUUAUUUCAACUAUAAAGUGUUUAAAAUCAACAAUGCCUAGAAAGCAUGCCUAUAGGAGCAACCAAUGAAAUCAGAAUCGUUCAUUUGCUUAUAAGUCUAAAAUCAGUCGUAACCGUAACGACUGUCGAAUUUAUAUUCCUGUAAUUGAUAGUUUCUUCUUUUCUGAAACUAGUAGAUAUCAUGUCUAUAGGUUUUUUUCAUUUGACACCUAGGCAAGCCAUAAGGUAACUUGUAAAUUGAAUCAGAUUUUAUCAAUUCCAACCAGCAGGCAGGCCUUACUCGGGCUUCUUAUCUGAAAUAUAUAAUAGAUUAGUCUUGAACAACCUUUAAAUUUCAUUAAGACCAUAACCUAUAUGUAUAAAGCAUGUUAAACAAUCUGUCUUUAAGCUGAGGAGGCUUGUUUGAGCCUUUAAUUAUUAUCUGUUUUCCCAUAUUUGCUCUACGUGUUUUAAUUGUCGCCUUAGAGUUUUAUCCUUUUAAAACCACAAAAAAUCCCAAAUCUCCCUUCCCUUUAGGACUAAUAGCCCCAAAUGCCUCCGGGGAUGAUAGGAUUGGGGACGAGUAAUAGCAUGCAAUAAGUAAAGUGAGACCAUUCCGCAUUAAUACCUUAACAGGGUGGGAAAUGGUAUAUAUGGAUAUGAUAAUCACGCGAUAACACCACGUGUAUAAACGAUUACCGGGUGUUGUGUGGGGUGAUCCGUAUUAUUUAUAAACCUAGGACCCCUCGCCCUUUACUUGUUUGUCUAUUCAGAAUUUCAAAGGAUAUUUUUCUCAAAUUCUAGCUUUCUUUGACUACUUUUAAUUUAAAUUUACUUGCAACAAUCAUGUGAAAUUUCUUCUCUUUUCUUUUACCCGUUUAUUUUGAGCUUCAAAAUUGCUUUUCUUCUUAAAUUUCAUCUUAUUUAACUUCGUUUUAACUUCAAAUUACUUGCAAUAAUUAUGUGAAAACCCCUCUCUCAUAUUUGUAACGCUUAUUUAUCUACUUGUUAUUUGAAAAUAAAGUCACAAUCAUAGUAUGCCGGGAACCACACUAGUGGAUAUUGAGGGGUGCCUAACACCUUCCCCUUGUGAUAAUUUCAAGCCCUUACCCAACAUAUGGUUUUCCAAAUAAAGUUCUUCUUUGUGUCCUAAUGCACUCAAUCAUUAGGUGGAGACUCUUCAAUUCAAACCCAAUCCCCAAAAGGAAAUGAGUUGUCCUCCCAAAUGUCAUAAACCCGAUUUCGCGAAAAAAGGGGGCUUGGUAACGUCCCGACUCCACUGGGAAUUUUCUCUAAAGCUUUUACCAUUUCAUGCUAUUUGUGACUUUAUGCUUUAUUUAUAUGACUUAUUUAAUGCCUUUGAGUGUUUAUCUCCUUCUUCUACAUCGAAACUAACUUGGGUCUUUGUCACUUUCUUUUAUAUCUCUUAAUGCUUUCUUUUAUCGCUUUCCUUUAAUACUGUUGUAAAUUAUGGAGAAACUGUUGUAAUUUUUACUUUAUGAACAUACAAAUAUAUGACAACUUGAUUUAAUUAUUUCAACUGUAUAUUCAACAUCAUAUUCCACUCGUGCCGAAAAAAAUACCAUAGCAACGCUUAUAAUGACUGGUUGCACCCUUCCGAUAUUAUCACCCCCUAAAUUCAGAAAAGGCAUAUUUGAAGUAAAACCAGUCGAUCAAUGGUGUAGUCAACGGUUCCAUGCCUUUCCAACUUGAGUUAUCCGCUCAAGGGUACACGUCUAAUACCAUAUAGAAACCCUUCUCCGUUUAGUUGUGCAUGCAUCAUGAUCAAACCUAGCCGAGUCAGUUAUGUUGUCCGAAUGAUGACUCUUUAAGAUAGCCUUGUCCAAAGUCCACCGGGUUUUCCCAAAACCAAAACGGAUGCUACUACAUUUCGUUCAUUUAUUUUGAGAAUUAAAUGCUUGUUAUGCCAAUUAUUGAUAUUUAAUAGUCGAGUCAAGAGGGGUAAAGGACCUAACACUCUUGUCUUGCAGAAAUAUGAGGAACGAAGUCCCCAGAUUCGGCAUUGUCACCAACAUCCAUCAAAAAUUGCUAAAUUGGUGGGAAGUUAUUCAUUUCAGUGAUCAGACCCUUGUCCAGAAAUACUUGGGAAAUUUUACCUUCCCUUACGGAAGUCCAAUCCAACAACAAAAUCAUAGAAGCCGCUACUUUAUUCUGGGAUUUUGAUAGGUCUAUGUUCCACUUCGGAGACAUUGAAAAAAUGACACCCCUGCUAGAGGAAAUAGGAGGACUGGAUGGUAUACUGUGGGGCACUCCGAAUCUAUUAAAACCAGAAAAUCACAAGGGUAGAAGUUUUCUCAAGAUGAUAGGUCUAAAGAAGACUCUUAACCUGCUUAAAGGAGUAUUACAUUCCAUUUUAUUAUUUGUACGACAGGUACGGUCUCAACAAAUCUUACUAAACUUAUCUUGAUGAGUUCUCCCUCACACCAUUAGGACAUAUCCAUCGGAGGGUCUUCAUCUUUAUGUUCUGCUUCUUGGGGAUGAUAGUGUUUCCCAUGAAGAAAGCAAGGAUCCAUACCUGACUAGCCAUGUUCACCAAAGCAUUAAUGGAUGGAAUUGGUGGGCAACCAUUUAGCAUAGUGACCAUGUUCAUCGCAGAAAUAUACCGAGCCUUGGAGAAGUGUCAACAGGGAGCCAAACACUUUGAGGAUUGCAACUUGUUACUCGAACUCUCCUUCAACUUGUUAUUCCAACUCUAACUCAUGGAGCACCUCCAAAAGGGUGAGUCUCGGCAAGAAUUCAGCAUAAGGACUAGGACGAUCAUAUAGCCUUCCAUUAGCCAAGGAGGAUGAACUACAUGCCCAACAAGUUUGCUUAGCCUGAAAAUGACAAAGGAUGGGUAGAACUGUUUGAAAAUCUAAAGGAGGACCAAGUACAAUGGAUCUUCGAAUAGUUCCCCACUGAUAAGUUCAUUGCCCGAUGUUAGGAUGCACCAUUUCUUAUACUUAUUGGUUUACGGGGAACUUACUCUUAUGUCCCUGUUUGAGACAAGCUUGUAGAAAGCCGGUUAUACCAAUGGUUGACAAGAUGAGUCACUUUCGGGCGAGUUUCAAGAUGAUGAUAUCCCUUACAAGUUCCAAGCUCAGCAUAUGUGGAACUACAAAAUCUUUAUCUGAAGGGACACUAGUGAGCCAUACCGAUACCAUGCUAGUUAUACUUCAUGCUAUCCCAGCUGGUAAGAAGACAAUCACAAUGGUCUGGGUCAACCCGAGCUUGCUCGAUGUGACAGGAUCAUCGAUGAAAAGUCUAAAGCGCAGUUCAAAUACAACCAAUUGCGUAAGAGGAUUGGGGAAUGCAAAAAUGAGCACUGUCAAAUUCAAGAAGCUAACCAAAAGCUGAUUGAAGAAUGGAAAGAUAAGGCUGUCAGCGCUAAUAAAUGACUGGGUUACUUGGAGCGGGGUUUCGUAGAGCAGGAAAGGAAAUUCAUUAGAAGGGUCGAGGAAUGCCAGAAUGCUAAGGGAAAUGAAGAUGAGCACCUAUCUAGAACCUACUUGCUGGUGGGACUUCACGAGUUGGUGCAGUUGUUUGAGGGAAUCAAAGAUGUCGAGUCAGGGACAUCUUGGAUGUAAUAAGACCAUUGACCACUAGUGACAUCUUUAUUUCCUAUUAUUCGGUGUCGUUUUGGGGUUUGUCUUAUUUUCUAUCAAUAAAAUAAGGCAUUUAUCAUUAUAAGCUCUCCAGAUCAAUUCGUCGCCAGGCCUACCUCGGGCACAAUGAGGCUCCCAAAUUAGGACACAAUUUACAUUCCUACACUAUGUGUUUAAAUGUCGCAGCAUCAUCUCUUAUAAUCCUUACUGACUUGUUACCUUUUUGUUCUUACUUUUGUUUGUUUCCCUCCCCAAAGGUUAGUUAAGGAGCCAUGGCAUCGUCAUCAUAUUCCAUAAGAUCCAAGGGCCCUCCACCCACUCCUCCUCAUAGUCCUAUCAGAAUAGGAACAAGGGAAAUAUGGAAGAUUUGAGCAACAUCAGAAAGGAAAACUCGGUAGAACGGGUAGAAAUCAUGUAGGGUACUCAGGGCUCCAGAAAAAUACGUCCCAACUCGAGCAUAAACUGUUGAAAUUUCAGGAAGAACAAGAUCAAGUGUGAAAUUUGGAAAGUCUGUCAUUUUCCCUCACCCCUCCAAAAGUUACAUUCCCUAAACCUCUGAAUCACAUACCUCCACAAAACCAUCCCGCUCCUCAACACCACUACAACACCUGCCACACUCCCAACAAUGCUCUACUCCUUAUCCUGGAACCUUUGAACUCUACAAAUGGUCACUGCCACGCCCAACACAACACCUCCAGCUACGUGGAGACUGUGCCACACUCCACCCAACAUAUCUCAAGCACACCCGAAUCUAAUGAUAAGGACUCUCUCAUCAGAAAUUUGCCGAAGAGCUUAAAAGGCUGACCACAAGAAUUCAAGGCGUUGAAGGUAGUAAGGGAAUUGAAGGGCUAAACUAUGAAGAUCUAUGCAUACAUCUCGAUGUCGAACUGCCCGAGGGGUACAAAUCUCCCAAGUUUGAAAUGUUCGAUAAUACAAGGGAUCCCAGGUUUGCUUGAGAACACACUGCGAUAAACUGGUCGUAGUAGGAAGAGACCAGAAAAUCCGCAUGAAGCUUUUCAUGAGGAGCUUUAAAGGAGACACUCCAUCUUGUUACAUUAGCCAAUACCCAAAGAAGUGGCCGAACUGGGUAAGUAUGGUGUCCGACUUCAUGGAUAGAUUCAGGUUCAACACAGAGAACGCGCCAGAUGAGUUCUAUAUCAAAAACAUGAAAAAGAAACCCACAAAAACCUUCCGCGAAUAUACUACUCGCUGGAGGUCGGAAGCUGCUAACGUCAGACCAGCCUUAGAGGAAGAACAAAUGAACAAGUAUUUUGUCAAGGCUCGAUGUGAAGUCCUAUGAAAAUUUCAACUCAAAACCCAAAUCUCGUAGUGUCUAGCAAGGGCCAAGUGUUAGAAACUUAGAAAAUUUGCAUUUUGGACCCUUAGAGCUGAUCUAUGCAUUUAAAAAUCAAGAAUCAAACUUUUCCAGAAAAGUGCAAAUAUGUUAUCUAGAAUGCGAUCACAUAUUAGGUAUGCGAACCAUUUUUCUACCGCAGAGUGAGUCAGUGUGUUAGCUAAUUUGAGGUUGAAGAUGCGGUCCAUUACGCGAUCGCAUAACCGAUAUGCGGACGGCAUAGUCGUCCCAUAAUUCCCUAAGGGAUUUUGUGAAGGUUAGUUCUGUAGUGCAUUAUGCGACUGUAUAAUGGGUAUGCAGACCAUAUUUACGUCGUAUACUCAAAAAGAAUGUCCAGAUUUUAGGUGCCUUUUUGCAGUUUAAUCUGCGGCCCGCAUUUCCACUUUGCGAUUGCAAAUCUGACUCGGGGCUCCAAUUUUUUCUAUUUUUAACCAACCCCAUCUAUCUUUAUAUUUGGUAUUAUAGCUCAUUUUUAGAAUUUUAUGAGCAUUUCUAGAGUAAGAGAGAGGGGUCUUAGAGAGGGAAAGUUCUCCCCAUCAAAUUACUCUAAUAAAUCUUGCUAAAUCCUUGAAGAUAAUCAAGUGAAGGCAUCUAAAUCUUCACCCUAAGAGGUAAGGCUUCAUCACCUCAGUUCUUAUUUCUACACUCAGCUAUAAGGGGGUCAGUAGUGAGGAAAUUCAUGGGUAUAAGAAUUGAUUUGAAUGUAUAUCAAGACUUAGGGUAUUGGGAAAUAGUAAACUAAAAAGGAAACAAUUGGAGUAUACAAUGAUAGAUAUCUCUCUCAAAAAUGGGCCUAAGAUCAUAAUGCACCUCUAGUAUUUGAUAUUAUGCUUGAACCAAGCUAGAAUCAUAGCCUCGUCUCUAAUUCUCGGUUUAUUUUGUAAUUCAUGCAUCAUAGAUCGAAGUGAUAAGAUUUACAAAAAUUUGUAAAGAGUAAGGAAAGCUAUAUUGAGGUAUGUAUGGCUAAAACCCCCUUUUUAUUAGAAAUUAAGCUCAGUUGGCGUUAUGAAAGUGCAGUAAGAUUUGAAUUGAUUACUGUAUUUGUGCAUAAGAAUUGAUUUCUUUGCAUGCCUAUCAAAACUUAGGGUAUUGAGAAAUAGUAAACUAAAAAGGAAACGUUUGGGGUAUAAAAUGAUAGAAAUCUCUCUCGAAAAGGGCCCUAAGAUCAUAAUGCACCUCUAGUGUUCGAUAUUAUGCUUGAACCAAGUUGGAAUAUCAACCUUGUCUCUAAUUAUCGGUUUAAUUUAUAAUUCAUGCAUCAUAUAUUGAAGUGAUAAGAAUUUCAAAAAUUUGUAAAUAGUAAGGUAGGCUAUGCUGAGGUAUGUAUGGCUAAAACCCUCCUUUGAUUAGAAAUUGAGCUCUGUUGGCGUUACGAAAGUGUGGUAAGAUUUGAAUUGGUUAAUGUAUUGGUUGUUAUUGUGCGUUAAUGGAUUUAUAAUUAUACACGCAUAUACAUGAAGAAUGUGCCUCAAUGAUAGUAAUGUGCCAUUCCUGAUAUUUAAGGAUGUGAUGAAUACAAUUGUGAGUUGAAAUGCUUAGGCUAUAAGUCAAGAUUGAUAUUGAGAAUUUAUCCAUGCUGGUUAUGUGCUCACUUACCUGUGCUUGCAACUUGAAUUAACUUUGUAUCUGCCUAUGAUCACAACUUGCAAGAUGAAUAUUGAAAAUGGAAAACGAUGUGAUGAUGGUGGCCCUUAGUUCCUAGGAAUUGAUAUGAUAUAUGUGAAAUAAAGAUUCUGAUGUGAUGACUAAUGGGAAAGGAAGAACACCUAGGUUAGGUGGCCUAGCCGAUGGGGUCGUGAUCGGACACCAUACCAUACACAUAGUGGUAAUGUGCUAAUAUUAAAUCCUGAAUAAGGGAAAUAAAAUAGUGAUUGAGAUAUAUGCCUCCAAUGAGGCAACCUAGACGGUCUGGCUGUGAUCGAACUCCGCUCAAUAGCGGUGGUAUUGAGAAUAGUGAUGAGCAUACGAUAAAAAAAGUCCCAAACUAAGUUAUGGAAAUUAGUUGAAAAAUAAUAGGAUUUGCAUACUUGAUUUACGCAUGAAACUUGCUUGAUAGUUCAUUCUCGUAAAAUAGUAUUUAGUUAUACAUGCUAGUACUAUUCUGUGGUACUAAAUUCCCUUUUGCCGGGGGCUCUACUUUUUUAAAUGAAUGUAGGUGGCUCCAUAGAGGAUAGUGCCGAUCGUGUGUAGUGGAGCAUCCUUCUUCACAAUGUCUUGGUGUGCUCCUUUCUUCUCCAAGGGGUUAUACUGUGUACCUUUUGUUAUUGUGGACGUCCACUUUUGAGGUAUAGACGGGGCCUUGUUUUCGGCAUUGUUGUACUUAUCUUUUGUACCCUUACAGGCUCUGUAGACACAUGUGUGGGUUAUGUACGGGUAUUUGGGGAGUUUAGUAGCUAUGUUGUAAUUCUGCACUCAGGUAUAAAUUGUAAUUCGAUUAGAAUCUUUGAAGCUAACUUAUCUACUGUUUAAUGUGGAGAUGUGAAAUGAACUAAAGAUGUUAAAUAUACUAUCUUUCCUUUCUAAACAAACGAAAUCAUGGUUUCCUUAUUCAUAUUAUGUUGGGUUUGAAGUUUUUGACAAGGCUUGCUCAGUUAGGUUCACUCGAUUGAGCAUCGGUCGCGCCGUCCAAGGUGGAGCGUGACAAACUUUGUAUUAGAGCCUAAGGUUUUAAAGUGUCCUAGGAUGUCUCGGAGCCAUUUCUGGUAGAGUCCUUCUUAUCAGUGUGUAGUCGAUCACAUUUAUGAGUUUAAGGCUACUUGGGCAUGUAGGAAUAACAUCCUUCUUUGAUAUUAAGGAUUGUGCGAUGAAACUGUUUCCUUCCUAACUAAUGCAUUGUUCUAUCUUUCAGUAAAAGGCAAUGUCACUCCAGGAGUGGCUGAUGAUUUAUUUCUAAAUUUUGCGGGUGAGGGUAGUCGCCCUACUAUUACUCUGACGCAUCCUUCUAUUUCAAAGUAGACUACCCAGUUCCUAACCCUACGGAGGGUACCACUAUCCCUCCCAUUGAUAACCUUGUCCCUCCUCCAGCCGUAGCUUCAGGUUUUGGUAUUCCGGAUGGGGAUCUUAGGACAGCUAUUCAGAUACUGACCUAGUUAGUGGCCUCUCAGUCCCAGAGGACAAAUAUUAUGCCUAAUUCAUCCAGCCAGUAAGGGGAUUGUACUAGUUUUAGGGUAAAUAGAUUCCUUCAAUUGGACCUAUUGGUACCUACGGGUGCCAAUCCGGAAGAAGACCCCCAGGAUUUCAUUGCUAAGAUGCACAAGACCAUCAGAGUGAUGCGUGCAACUAAGACAAAGGGGGUGGAGUUGGAUUCCUACCGUUUGAAAGGGGAGGCCUAUUUGUGGUUUUAGUUGUGUGAUAAUCAAGUGAGGAGGGGCUUCCUAAAGCGAAGUGGAGUGAGUUUGUAGACGCCUUUAUAGAUCAUUUCCUGCCCGUUAAGAUAAGGGAAGCCUAUGCAGCAGAGUUUGAAAAUUUGAGGUAAGUUAUUAGAAGUGUGUGGGAGGACCACAUGGAGUUUGUUCGCUUAUCAAAGUAUUCCAUUCAUAUGUUUCCAACAAUGGAUGUCAGGGUCGCCCGUUUUUCCAGGGACAUAAUUCUUUUACCAUUGAUAAGGUUUCUACGGUUGCACCAAAUUAAGAUAUGAAUUGUGGGAAGAAGGUAGCCUUUGCUCAAUCCACAGAUAAUUGCAAGUUGAAGAACAGAAAGGAGAGAGAGAGGGUAACACUAAGGCCCAGUCUACGAGCAACAUGGGAAAGUCACUAGGAGGGGUGGAAUAUCAGCUUUCAAGGGAGGAUCAUCAGGGCCUUCCCAGUCUGUUGCAUUGUCUUCAGCCAUUACACUGCCAUCAGGGCCCAUCCAGUUGCAGUGGAGUUAUUUCAUGCCCGGUCAGUGCAACAGUGAAUCCCAUUAGCGAGGUCGGUCAGAGGUUUCAGCAGCAGUAGAGGUCCAUGUGAUCUGGUGUUACAACCCAUAUUCAUGUAUGUUUGCUCAUGCCAUAUGUAGUCAACAUAAAUCCAAUAAGGAAUUAUAUUUGAAAGGAUAAGAAGUUAAUCCUAUUGGUCUUAAGUCAUACAAGGGUGUAUAAGGGUGAUUAACAAGAUUUAGACGUUAAACGAAUCAAGGAUGUUGUAACUAGUAUUUUCAGGAAAACCUACAGGUACUUAAUAUCCGUAUCAUAUGUCUUGAAGUCAAAACUGUUAUGAAACAAAAGUCGACAAAAGUGGUCGCAACUUAGGUUCAUAAUUUUACUUAAACAUUAGGUCAAAUAUUUCUAAGCUUUUCUCACAAUUUACGAGGAAUUACAGGGUGAUCUACCCACCAAAUUAAUGUUCUAUGAGUCUUGUUUUCAAUUUAUCUAAUCGUUUAUUGAUAUGAUCUUGGAGUAGAGAGAUAUUUGCGUUUUUACAAGACUGGGCCAAACACCUCUCUAUGGGGCCCACUUAGGAAGUUUAAGACAUUUGGAUCUAUAUAGGACACCUCCAACACAUUUUAAGUCAUUUUCUUUCACUAUAUGCAGACCUUAAAACCCUAGUUCUCUCCCAAUUCAAGACCCAAACAAAGGGCAAACGACACAAAUCAAGUGUCUGGAAUCCCGUGGCACUAGUAAGUUUCUUUUUCUUCUUGUUGUUGCUCAUUUUUGUGUUUUUCCAGCUCAUUUGGGAGGUUUUUUUAAGGGAUUUAUGUUCUUUAAAUACUCCCUCAAGAUCGUAAUAUCAACCCUAGGUGAUUUCAAGCCUUCUAAAGUGAUUCUAGUGUCGGAAAACACUAAUUGAUUGCUUGUUUCGCUUUGUUGUUGUUGUGGCAGCAUUGCAGGGAUAUUUCACAAAAAUUAAAUUAAAGUGAAGAUUUUUUUUUUAAAGGUAAGGAACCUCUUACUCUAUAUAUAUUUAAGAUUAUUCAAGUUGCGGCUAAGUCAUUGAAGCUAGAACUUGUGAAAUAUAUAUCGAAAGGCUUGGUAGUAAUGUUAUUGUUUGGUGGACUAUUUUGGGAGGUUCAAUAUAUGUUUUGGGAGGUUAAAUAUGAUUAACAUUGAUGUUGUUUGGGCCGUUUGGUGAUUUUUAUUACUUGUGGGAAGUCAUAUAAAUAGGGGAGUUUCUGUUCGUUUAAUCGUAAAAUAGGUUGUGGUCGAUACAUAAUACUUAUGACGCUUAAAUGGUAACGAUAGUAUCGUUUCUCUUAUUGUAGACUAAGGAGUCGUGAUAAUUGAAUAGCUUGAGGUUGGGCAGUGUAUACAAGGUAUGUGAGGCUAUUCUUUUCCUUCUUUUGCACGACUCCUAUUGUGCAUAAUGUAAAGAACGAGCUUCCGAAGAUACUCUACUAUUAGAAGCUAGCAGUGAUUACAUUGUUUCCCCUCUUAUAAAAAGAUUGAUGUUGAUGUUGCCUCUCUUUUUCUUAUCUUAUCUAUAUUGUUGGUACUUCAUAAUUCUUAUAAGGUUCAUGGUGAAGAGUUAGUCCCAAUAACGUGUAUAGAGGAUACCGACCUUACACCACUCCGAAAGGUUUAUAAUGUGAUUCCAUGGGUCAAGCAUGCAUUAUAUAUUUGUAUCUAUUUUACUCUAUCGAGCCACACUAUAUUCAACUGGGUACGGCACCUAUUGUGCAACUACUGAUCACUUGGGUUUUACCGAGCUCCACGUGGCCGGGUAUGAUUUUACCGAGCCAUAUGAUAGGCGGGUACGUUUUUACCGAGCUUAUUACUGUCGGGUACGAUAUGAUGAUGAUGAUGCAAUAUAAGAGUAUGUUUUAAAAGUUUAUGUAUAUAUACAUAUGUAUCGUGCAUUGCAUGUCGGUAGCUCUCAGAGGUACCCAAUGUUAUAGGCUGUAUAUUCUCUAUCCCUAAUUACAUUACUAUUUGUACUUACGGUUCCAUGCCUUACAUACUGAGUACUUUAUUCGUACUGACAUCCUUUUGUUUGUGGAUGCUGCAUGUCGUGCUGCAGGUCCUGAUAGAAAAGUAGGUGCAGCUCCCACACCAUAGAAGGCUGUCCAGCUCAGCGGUGAUUGGCAAGAUCCCAUCUCUGGACUUGCCGCGGUCUUGUUAUGCUUUUUUGUUAUAAACAUUAUGGGUAUGUCAGGGCCAUGUUUUGGCUAUGUUGCAGAACUUAUGUUCCUUUAGAGUCUCAUAGACAGGUGCCAACUCAUGUAUAGUUUAGUAUGUUUUGUCGGUUGAUUUUUGUUGUAUAGUCUUUCAUGGUAGUAUGGUAGCUCGUACCAUAUAUAUAUAGUUUCUUGGUUGUCUGGUCAUCCCAUGUUAUAUAUGUUCAUGCCUUAAUGUUUUAUUGUUGGUUUUCCAUGAUCCAUGUCUAGCAUUUAUAUUGAUCUCGCCAACCCUAAAAUAUAAUAAAUAAGGUUAGAUAAAAUGUACGUUGGUGCUCAACAAGUAUGGACGGGUGAUAGUCAUAGUCCUCCAGUUUGGGGUGACAAACUUGGUAUCAGAGCAAGUGUAUCCUUGGGGUUGUCUAUGAACCUUGUCUAGUAAAGUGUUGAUUAUGG